rnacentral:lncRNA from 1 species
AUAAAUUUAAUGGGAAAACGAUUAACAUAGCAGAUAACCAUCCAUGAGUCUGGUAGUUACAUAAGGAAAUAACAAAUACAAACAUAUUCAAACAAAUAUUGUUCUAUCUUUUACACCCACACAAUAUUUUCCAAUCUUAUGAAAUUUUAUUCAUCAUUUAUUUCUAAAAGUAAAGAAACCAUAAUAUCUUUUCCACAUGGGAUAGAACAUCUUCCUUCAUCCAUUUUGGCACUCAUAGUUCAACUUUGUAGCUUGUUCUUCCUUGCUUUGCUAUGGGAACUCAUGUGACCACCAAAGGCUUGAGAUGAGUUGAAGGUGAGAUUGCAAAUGCUGCAUCUGUACUUACGUGAACUCAUAGUAUUAUGCAUAAUACCACUAUUAGUAAUGCCAUUUGGUACAUCCAUAGGAGUCUUGUCUUCUCUGGGGCCAUGUGAGGAGGUGGCGAAUGGAACAAGAGGGGUAGGCACAACAUAAGUAGCGUCAUGGGUUAGCGUCCCAUGUGGUAUAUUUUGUGGACCCUGUAUAACAAUUGGUCAGUGGUGACAAAAUAUAGAAUACAAACAAAUUGUGACGGUACUAAGUUUACCUUGUAGACUCUCCUGGUUGGGAUCUCAAAGAUUGGACCAUCAUCUAUUGCUCCAAUAGUAUUAAGGUGGGCAUUGACAACUGCAAUGGGAUCUCCCUGGAGUAAGGAUGUAAUUGAUGGAGACUCCAUGGAAAAGAUCCUCCUAUGAUCCGAUGAACUAAAGUAGUUCCUAAUAGUGUUUGACAAGAAAUCUUGGUGCGAGAAUAUUUCUCGUGGGUUCUCAAAGAUUUCCCUAUGGUUGGGCUGAGAAAUAAGGGUAUUGACCCUAUUUGAAGGAGUAAACUUUGCAUCAGGCAACUGUGGAGGUUGUGAUGAUAGUGAUACACUGGUUUGAUAUGGCAUGAUGGAACAAUCUUUCAUUGAUGGCAUGGUAACUACAUGUGGUGCAUCAAUGGUAGGUGGGGUGUUCCAUACCCAAGUUGAAUCUGAUGGUGUGGAAUUCAGGGGAACAAAAUCACUCAACAUCGGCAUGAUCACUCUGCCUCUCGGUGCAUCAUGCAAGGGAGAAAUAUUGGCCUCACUUUCAUCAGAUCUGACUUUCUUAGGAUAGGAGCCAUUAGGAUCCAUAGCUCCUAGUAAAAUCAAGAACUUUUCAGGAAAGGUAUGGAAAGUAGGGAUGUAUAUGGUAUGAUAGUGUUCGUUUCUUAGGAGGGAUGCUACAUGAGGUGAUAUUAGGUGUAUUUAUAGGAAUCUUGCGUAUCUAUGAACAUGCAUGCCUUCAUGUAUUAUUCAAUUGUGUCAUUAACUAAAAUAUUUGAAAUUUAAUCACCAGUAUUCAUACAAUAUCUAAUAGAUAUGGGUGAUAAAUUAUUCUAAUAAUUCAUGAUAUCUUCUAGGAUAUCUUAUUGGUAAAUUAGUAAUGGGCAUGGGCUGGGUCGGCCCGAUGGGUCACUUGCCGACCCAAAAAUUUAAGGCCAAUGAGUCAUGUUGGUCGGUCUCAAACAAGAUUGGGGUCAACAGAGCCGGCCCCUGGUGACCCGCUGGGUCAACCUGGUCAGCCCACCUUAUAGUCUUAUAUCUCACAUCAGCUGCAAUCUCUGUCGUGUUGGCAUUGUCGUAGGACCCGAUUUUGCGACGCAGUCUAUCAAAUAAUUUCCGUCAAACACUCGCCUAUAUGAACAACAAAAUUGUCUGGGUAUAUUUAGGUAAGAUGCGCACAUACUAACCACAAGCAGACGACUUGAUUUUUUCUAUUAAGCACAUAUUAGAAAUCUUAUCAAUUCUUACACUAGUAGGAUUCCAUUUAAACCAUGCCUCAUUUUAACACCUUGUUUGUCCACAAGGCAAUGUAAAGUAAGAAAUUGGGUCGACCCAAAAUACCCAUUGGGACAACGAGGCCAUUGCCUAUUUUUUAUGCGGGUUGACCUGUGGCCUCUCAAAUUGGGCUUGGGGCGGGUCCAAGGCCAGGUUCGGGUCAACCCAUUCCCAUCCUAAUGGUAAAUUCAAUAACGCCAUCUUCUACAUAAAAGUUGGUAUUUAUUCCUCUGGAAAAAGCGAUUGAAUGAUAUAUGGUAUUAUUAUAGAAACAUGAGUCCAUCGAUCUUGGAUGAAAAAUCAUUACCAAUGUUGCUAUGAAAUUACAUGUGUCUUCUUAAACUAGUGAUAAUUGUCUCGACUUAUUGUCUCGAAUUUCAAGCAUUUCUUAUUUAACUUCCUGGACUUGCACCCUGGGUCCAAACUAGCUACUAUUUGCUAAUCAAUCCCGGAGGGGUGGGGUUUGAGUGUGGUAUAGAGAGUGGGGGUGGGAAGGAGAGAUAAUGUAAGAGAGAACUUUACCGUUUUCCUCAUAAUCUAUUUUAAAUAUACAACUAUGGUGCCUUAAUACAAGGAAGUUGUCAUAAUAACUAAAAUAUACCUAGAAUUCAUGAAAACCUCAUGAAAUGCCAAUAUUAUGUUCCUAUAUAGCUAUUGACAUUGGGAUCCCCUGCAGAAGGGCCAUGGCAAGGAUUCGCCCUAGGAUACCUAAACGGCCUGAGCUGUGCCAGGAGAUCACUCGGUUGAGCUGACAUCAUAAAGCCCAUCCGUCUAACCUAGGCAGGGACGUCAACCCGAUUGGAUCGGUAUCGGGAAAUCAAAGCGGGUGUUUACAAUAGCACCAUUUAGAUAGCUUCAUUGCAUAAUAGUAAAUCAUGUACUAAUUAACCAUCAUCAUCAUGGCAUUAUCCUACAACAUGGCUCACAUAACUGUUGUGCCUUAUCGAUGCCGCCCGGUGAUACGUCUCCAACGUAUCUAUAAUAUUUGCUUGUUCCAUGAUGUUAUAUUAUCAUUAUUGGAUGUUUUACAAUCAUUUUAUAGCAACUUUAUAACAUUUUUUGGGACUAACCUAUUUACGUACACUACUAGGGAAAACCUUAUACACAGAAUCUUAGCAGCAGCGCGGUUCAGGGGGAGGUGCUACUGCUAAUUAGUAGCAGCACGGGAUAAAAAACAAGUGCUACUGCUACUAACUUAGCGCAUCUCGGCCGAACCACGCUGCUACUAAAAUCGACCGACAGUUCCUGCAAACCUAGGCUUAGCAGUAGCACGGUCUUUAUAAGCGCGCUGCUGAUAAAGUCAUAGUAACAGCGCACUUUUUUUGGGACGCGCUACUAAUAAUUGUCACUAUUUUUGAAACUGGCCACAUGGCGGGACCCACUUAGCAGCAGCGCAUGAGGCGUAAGGGUGCUGCUGCUACGUUAAUAGUAGUAGCACGGAUUAUGACCCGCCCUACUGCUAAGCCGUAGAAUAUACCAUUCCCUCCCCCUUCCCCUCCCCCGUCCUCUCUUCCUCACUUUCCCCUACUGUCGUGGUUCUAAGUCUGACAGCAGAGUGGGGGUAGGUAUGGAGAGGCAAGGUCCUAGCUAUGGAGAGGUUGUAAACACAAGCGAUGUACGAGUUCAGGCCCUUCUCGGAGGAAGUAAAAGCCCUACGUCUCGGAGCCCUGAGGCGAUCGAGUGGAUUAUGUAUGUAUGUGUUACAGGGGUGCGAACCCUUCUGCCUGUGGAGGGGGGUGGCUUAUAUAGAGUGCGCCAGGACCCCUGCCAGCCCACGUAAUGAAGGGUUUAAAGUACAUUAAGUCUGGGGCGUUACUGGUAACGCCCCACAUAAAGUGUCUUAACUACCAUAAAGUCUAUUCAAUUACAGGCCGUUGCAGUGCAGAGUGCCUCCUGACCUUCUGGUGGUCGAGUGAGUCUUCAUGGUCGGGUGAGUCUUCAUGGUCGAGUCCUUCUAGUCAGUCGAGAGGGUUCCUCCUUGGUCGACUGGAAGGUGAUCUCUUCUAAGGGUGUCCUUGGGAAGGGUACUUAGAUCAGGUCUAUGACCCUACCCUAGGUACAUGAAUCCAUCAUUAGCCCCCGAAUGGAUUGAGGCUUGAGUGAGGAAGGAGUUGAUGUUGUUUCCGAUUGAUUUUUGCAUACUGGCUAUGCGUUGUUCUGGAUCAAGAUCUUCUUUGUUGAUAACGAGCAACUUUUCUUCAGUCGACUCGAUCCAUUCUUGUCUUUCGUCGAGUGAUCUUUUGGACUUUGCCGGUUCCCGAGCGACGGAUCACAAGAAAUCUCGCGUCUGACAGACCGAUCUGCCGUUCGCGGAUUCCACGGGAUACGAAAUUUGGGGAAGCGCGCGAAGCGGAACGAACCGCGGCGCUCGGACAGGACAGGACAUAGACGCCUCGAUCUCCGUGCCGCUUUUUCCGCCACGUAUCGCGUCAAUGCAACUAUUUCAGGAUAUGAUUAGACUGUCCGGGUCCACCUGUCAUCCACUCGGAAGGGAUGUUAUAAAUGCGACCAGUGAGGGUUUCUGAACAGUGCUCCAUUCUUUCUCCUCUGCUCUCCUCGUCUCCGCCCAACGCACCCGCUUUCGCCUCCGCAAAGCUCUUCUUCGCGCAUCUCACCGGCAGCCAUGGUCAAGGAGAAGACAGCGGUGCUGGAGCGCGCAAAGAAGGCGUCGGCGGCGGAGAAGGCGAAGGGGAGAUCCACCAGUCGCAGCGGGUCUUCGUCGAGAUCCCGCCUGCCGAAGGGCUGGGUCUAGGGAGAUUGGAUCCAGUCGACCAUCAGGGAGAAGGAUCUCCUCGACAUGGCCGACGACGGGCUGAUCCCCCAGGGCGUCGCAAGGCUUCCAGGGAAAGAGUGGCAACCCCAGCCAGAAGAGGGUGAGUGUGUGCUCCUGGCCACUCAUGUCGAUCGCGGAUUUUCUCUGCCACCGAGCAUUUUCUUUCGUGGUUUUUUGAACUUCUUUGGAGCUCAACUCCACCACUUCACUCCGAACUCCAUCGCGUAUCUUGCUGCGUUUGUAUCCAUGUGUGAGAACUUCCUGGGCUGUCGACCGCACUGGGGCUUGUUCAAGCACAUCUUCACAUGUCGUUCUCAGACCGUGACGAAGGCGAGUCCAGGCGAUGAGAAAACCCAAGUUGUCCAAAUGUGCGGGGGCCUGGGAAUUCAAGUGAGGAACAAGAGCACCUUCCUAGCUAUGACGUUUCCCGAGUCGGUCAGGGGCUGGCAGUCGACCUGGUUCUACUGCCAGAAUGAGCCGACACCGGGACAGUCGAGUGGACUCCCUCCAUUCACCAUGGACUGAGUGAACAAGCCCUCCUCUCUGAAGGUGAUUCUGGAGGAGAGAGCUGACGUGAAGAUGCUGAUGGAUCGCGUGGUGCAGUUGGUUCGGGACGGCAUGACUGGCAUGGACCUUUUGGAGGUUUUCCUUCGGCGACGUAUCCAGCCUCUUCAGUUCCGGAGCCAUUGCAUGUGGUUGUACUGCGGAACCGAAGACGAAACUCGAGUCCACCUGGAAGCAGUCGACGAUGCCACGGUGGAAAGGUGGAUGGCCGCGGUCACUGGGAACAAGGAUAAUCCCCAUGGAUCCAGGAGGAUUCCUCCACUCGACCAUCACAGUGUUCCAGACAAGGUACAUUUGCUCUGCCUUCCAUUGUAUAUUUGUCGUAUUUGUUUCUGUAUGUUCUGCAACUUGGUCGAUUGAUUUCUGUCUUGACGUCUUCCAGGCCCUUACCGAGCUGUACUCGAUGCCCAAUGGAGCUCAGGCUCCGACUGAGGAGGGAGAAGCCAGCGGGGGCGAGAGCCAGGAUGAGUGGGAUUCAGACGCUGCCGAAGAUGACGACGAUGACGACGACGAUGAUGAGGACGAAGAAGAGGAGGAGGAGGAGGUUGCACCACCACGCUCGGAAAGGCGGUCGAAACUUGUCCAUGACCCCGCGACUGAACGCGGUAAGGGGGUUGCGACUGCCUCGCAGUCGACGAAGCGCCCUCGGACCGCUUCUCCGGUGCCGACUGAAAAGGCGCCGAAGCAGUCGAAGGUGGCUCCAUCGAAGCCAACCAAGCUCCUACCGAAGAUGAAGGUGUCCAUCCCCACCAUAUCAGGGUAAACAUAUUACUUAAGUCUUCCUGUUUUGUACAAGCUUUAUCUCUGGUUGAUACUUGAAUUAAUCGACUGAUUCUUUGGAACUUCAGUGCUGCAACUUCUGAGACCUCAGGCAAGGCUGACGACCAUGAGAUGGAGGACGCAGCAACCUCCAAUCCUGGUACUAUACUCUUAAUUCCGUCUUUAGUCGACUGACUCAUGAUUUCUAACUCCAAUUCUUUUCUGAAGCUCCGUCCAAUGUCGUUAUCACCCUUCCUGAUGAUGAUGAUGAGGAUGAGGAACCGCUCAAGCAUAGGAGGAGCCGGAAGGUGUCUACUGGUAAGGCGGCCCAGGAUGUGACAGCGCUCGAGACUGUGGUCACGGAGGGGGAGAACACCACUCGACACACCGUGUCUUUCGCGGUGCUGUUGACGAGUGCUCGUCCCACUUCGUCGAGUGCCGCGCAACCUUCGCUCUUCACAACGCACCACGUCCUGGAGGACCAAGCCAGCGCUGCUAAGGAAGCGAUACGCCAAGCAGGGAUCAUGAUGGAGCAGGUUAAGACCAUCCGGGAUGCAAGCCAAGCAGCUUAUGACGCCAGCUCCGCCCUUCAAAGCAAUGUUCAGGUCAGUCGACCACCGCCUGUUCUGUUAGGAUAUGCUAUCAAAACUUUUCUUUCUGGAAUCCAUGGCCAUCACCCAGUGGGUGUGUCAAUAAGAAACUCCGUGUUAGCGGGGGCACGCUGAGUGCACCCGCUGGGUGUAGUCCCCAAGGCUAAGGUCGACUGCUGGCAGUCGGCCUUAGGCUUUAUAAGUAAAGGCUUUUCAUCAUUCAACUGUGGCGAAUGGAUUUCCGAAACCGGUGGGGGCACGCUGAGUGCACCCACUGGGUGUAGUCCCCGAGACUGUGGUCGACUGCUGGCAGUUGAUUACAGUCUGAAGAAUACGUCUCUUUUUUUUUGGGGUCGACUGGUCGACUCUGUCUUGAAAAGAACCAGUGGGGGCACACUGAGUGCACCCACUGGGUGUAGUCCCCGAGACUACGGUCGAAUGCUUGCAUUCGACGGUAGUCUCAGAAACGUAUGAUUUUCUCUUAUCCACUCGGAAGUGAAUUAUCUUUGAUAUCUUGUCGAUUGGUUCUUCGUAGAAAUUCUGUGACCUUGCGGCUCGCUAUACUGAGCUGGAGCAGAAGCACAUUCAGCUCGAGCUGGAUCUGAAGCUGGUUCAGGAGAAUCUGAUGAAGGCGAAGGAGGAGACCAAAGGUAUGUUCGGUGAGACCUCGACGACUCCUUUUUCCCUUCAUUUGUUUCAAAAUCUGACCUUGCUGUCACUUGCAGGCAAGGUGAAGGAAGCCUAGAAGAGAAAAGACCUUGAGCUAGCUGAGAAGACCAAGCUUGCUGACGAGAAGUUAGCUUCAGUCACCAAGCUUGAACAGGAAAAUACCAAUCUGAAAGCUGCUCUGGCGAUUGCCAACAAGGAAGUCGACCGACUGAAGGCUGACAAGACCACUCUGACCGACAAGAUCAACCAGUUGACUGGGAAGAAGAAUGACCUGGAAGCCUUCCUGGGUGGACUUGCUAAGAAGCUGUUUCUUAUGCUCGAAGGUAAUCCUUUAUGCUGCCCUUUUCAACUGCGAUGUUCCCAUUCGACCACUGUCUUGACUCGGCGUUUGUCCUUGUAGAAUUCUGCUGAAACUUUGAAGAAGAGACUAGCCAGUUGGAGCCAAACCUUGACCCUGUCAAUUCUCCGGUGAAUGAUGAAGUUGCCAUGAAUGUCUUCCGACUGGAGUCCCGCGUUGCAGCUGUCGUGGACUAUCUUGCAAGGCUGAAGGCCGCCACUUCUCGCAUCGACUCGACGCUUUGGCCCAGGGCGACACUCCAGAAUGACCUCGAGUCAUUGAUGGCUCGACUAAACGCGAUCCCUGACCGAGUGCAGGAGUGGAAGAAGUCCUCAGCUCGGUGUGGCGCAGAUGUUGCUUUGUGUCUGGCCCGAGUCCACUGCAAAGACGCGCGAGAAGAGAAGCUGGCGGCUCUCCGAGUGGCCAACACCAAGAAACACGACUUCAGGUCCUUCAUGGAAACCUUCAUCGCUGCUGCCACCCGGAUCGCAGACGGAAUCGACCUUGAUGAGUUCGUUGCUCCUUCCAGCCCUCCAAAGGAGGGGUAAAAAACUUCCUUUAAGCCCGACACUUUAAAUUUGCCUCGGUAUGCCAAGUGGAAUUGUAACCGAAAAACCUUAACAGGCUUAGCGCCUGAGCACUCUCGGUUCCUUUAGGUAUCGACCUAAACUUGGAUUCGAUGUUUGAAUAUGAUUGCUUUUGGCUCGAAAUGUCCUUUGCAGGUUCACAGCAAGGUGCUUUCUGUAGUCGACUUAUUUCUUAGGCGAGCACUGGGCCGCAGCUAAGCCUCCGAGUGAGAGGUUUGCUCUUCACUCGGUAGGAUUUUUAUUUCUUAGGCGAGCGCUGGGCUGCAGCUAAGCCCCCGAGUGAGAGGUUUGCUCUUCACUCGGUAGGAUUUUUAUACCUUAGGCGAGCACUGGGCUGCAGCUAAGCCUCCGAGUGAGAGGUUUGCUCUUCACUCGGUAGGAUUUUUAUACCUUAGGCGAGCACUGGGCUGCAGCUAAGCCCCCGAGUGAGAGGUUUGCUCUUCACUCGGUAGGAUUUUUACGUUGUAUUUGUGGCGAAGCUCAGAAGAGAGGGUCGCAGUCGACCUGCACCUCGCCUUCCUUGCGAGCGCACAUUGUACUUAUGGCGUAGCUCAGAGGAGAGGGUCGCAGUCGACCUGCACCUCGUCCUCCUUGCGAGCACACAUUGUACUUAUGGCGUAGCUCGGAGGAGAGGGUCGCAGUCGACCUGCACCUCGUCCUCCUUGCGAGCGUACGUUGUACUUAGGCGAGUACUUGGACUGCAGCUAAGCCUCCGAGUGGAAGUCUGGCUUAUCACUCGGUAGGAUUUUUUAUAACUUAGGCGAGCACUCGGCUGCAGCUAAUCCCCCGAGUGGAAGUCUGGCUUACCACUCGGUAGGAUUUUUUAUAACUUAGGUGAGCACUGGGCUGCAGCUAAGCCCCCGAGUGGAAGUCUGGCUUACCACUCGGUAGGAUUUUUUAUAACUUAGGCGAAAUGGAUUCGCGGCUAAGCCUCCGAGUGGAAGUCUGGCUUACCACUCGGUAGGAUUUUACAAACUUAGGCGAAAUGGAUUCGCGGCUAAGCCACCCACUGGGGGAAAAUUUUACUGGACAAAAAUAAAAAGUGACAAAAACUAUGAAGGAAUUAUGACACUAUUAUUUCGAAAUCAAUGAACUACAGAAGUACUUUAUUACAACUCAUCCGAGUGAAAAACUUUAAGUGUAAAAUGGGCGGAGCAGAUCCGCAUUCCAAGCUCGGGGCUCUUCUAUAUUGUGUUCGACGUUGUAAAGACGGUAUGCCCCGUUGUGGAGAACCUUGGUGACGAUGAAGGGUCCUUCUCAAGAAGGAGCGAGCUUAUGUGGUUUCUGCUGAUCCACCCGGAGCACUAGAUCUCCUUCCUGGAAGGCUCGACCUCUCAUGUUUCUGGCAUGAAAGCGACGCAAGUCCUGUUGGUAGAUGGUCGAUCGGAUCAGAGCCAUCUCCCUUUCUUCCUCGAGAAGGUCGACUGCGUCCUGACGCGCUUGCUCAGCUUCUGCUUCGUUGUAGAGUUCAACUCGAGGAGCAUUGUGAAGAAGAUCACUCGGCAAGACUGCUUCAGCUCCAUAGACCAAAAAGAAUGGAGUUCUUCCGGUCGACCGAUUGGGUGUGGUCCGCAAACCCCAAAGCACCGAAGGGAGUUCAUCGACCCAUGCUCCAGCCGCAUGCUUGAGAUCAUGCAUCAGUCGGGGUUUCAAACCCUUGAGGAUUAAGCCAUUGGCUCGCUCUGCUUGUCCACUCGACUGCGGAUGGGCGACUGAAGCGUAGUCGACUCGUGUGCCUUGAGCGUUGCAGAAAUCCUUGAAUUCUUCCGAGUCAAAGUUCGACCCAUUAUCCGUAAUGAUGCUGUGCGGGACUCCAUAUCUGAACGUCAGCUCCCUGAUGAAGGUAACCGCAGUACCGGCGUCAAGAUUCUUGAUUGGUUUAGCCUCAAUCCACUUGGUGAACUUGUCGACUGCUACCAGUACGUGCGUGAAACCACUUCGACCUGUUCUCAAGGGACCGACCAUGUCCAACCCCCAUACUGCGAACGGCCAGACGGGUGGAAUGGUCUUCAGAGCUGACGUAGGCUUGUGCGACAUAUUGGAGUAGAACUGACAUCCUUCGCACUUGUCCACUAUUUCCUUCGCCAUCUCAUUCGCCCUCGGCCAGUAAAAUCCGGCUCGGUAUGCUUUGGCUACUAUGGUCCGAGAGGACACAUGGUGACCACAGGUCCCCGAGUGGAUAUCAUUAAGAAUGAUUCGACCUUCCUCUGGAGUUAUGCAUUUUUGACCAACUCCAGUCGGGCUCUCUCUAUAUAACUGUCCUUUGAUAACGGUAAAGGCCUUGGAUCGACGGACGAUCUGCCGAGCCUCUUCCUCAUCCUCUGGGAGCUCUUUUCUUAGGAUAUACGCGAUAUAAGGAAUUUUCCAGUCGGGAGUGACCACUAAAACCUCCAUGACCAAGUCGACCACUGCUGGGAUCUCAACCUCAGUCGGAUCUGUCGCACUCUUGGGCUGUGGAGCUUCUUCUGUGAAAGGAUCUUCUUUGACUGACGGAGUGUGUAUAUGCUCCAAAAACACACCACUCGGAAUGGCUUCUCUUUUGGAACCUAUCUUUGCCAGAUCAUCUGCUGCCUGAUUUUUCAGUCCGGGGAUGUGAUGGAGCUCUAACCCCUCGAACUUCUUUUCCAGCUUCCUCACUGCAUUGCAGUAUCCAGUCAUUGCUGGGCUUCUCACGUCCCACUCCUUCAUAAUGUCCCACUCGGCAAACGCUGCAUCAGCUUCUGGAGUCCACUCGAACUUGUCUGCCUUCUUCAUCAGUCGGUAAAGAGGCAAUGCCUUUUCACCGAGUCGUGAGAUGAAUCGACUUAAUGCGGCCAAGCAUCCAGUAAGCUUCUGGACGUCAUGCACUCGCACAGGGCGUUUCAUUCGGAGAAUAGUGCCGAUUUUCUCUGGAUUAGCAUCGAUCCCUCGCUCGGAAACGAGAAAACCGAGUAACUUUCCACCAGGAACCCCGAAUGUGCACUUGGACGGAUUGAGCUUGAUAUCAUACCUUCUGAGGUUGGCAAAUGUUUCGGCGAGGUCAGCAAGCAGGUCGGAACCCUUUCGCGACUUGACGAUGAUAUCAUCCAUAUACGCUUCCACAUUCCGACUGAUUUGCGUGAGAAGACACUUCUGAAUCAUUCGCAUAAAUGUAGCUCCGACAUUCUUGAGACCGAAUGGCAUGGUGAUAUAGCAGAAGCACCCGAAUGGAGUGAUGAAAGCUGUUUUUAUUUCGUCGGGUCCAUACAGACGGAUCUGAUGAUACCCGGAAUAUGCGUCUAGAAAAGACAAUCUCUCACACCCCGCGGUCGAGUCAACAAUUUGAUCUAUGCGAGGGAGAGGAAAAUGAUCUUUCGGGCAGGCCCGAUUGAUGUGCUUGAAAUCAAUGCACAUGCGGAGUGACUUGUCCUUCUUGGGAACCAUGACGACAUUAGCAAGCCACUCGGAGUGGUAUAUCUCUCGGAUAAAUCCUGCCGCCAACAGUCGAGCCACUUCCUCACCAAUAGCCUUUCUCUUCUGGACGGCGGACCGCCGAAGAUGCUCUUUGACUGGUUUUGCUAUUUUGUCGACUCUGAGGCGAUGCUCAGCCAGUCCCCUGGGAACACCUGGCAUGUCAGCUGGCUUCCAUGCAAAAAUGUCCCAGUUCUCACGGAGGAACUGGAUGAGCGCUUCUUCCUUUUUUGGGUCGAGUGUUGUGGAGAUGUGGGUCGGGGCUGCAUUGGGGUCAGUCGGGUGAAUGUGAACAGGCUUCGUCUCACCAGACGACUGAAAUGCAGAUUCUGUGGCGGGUUUUUUGGAUCUCAACAAAUCACUCGGAUCUGCAUUUUGCUUGUACUCUUCGAACUCGACCGCUGUUACCUGGGAAUCGGCAAUCUUCGAGCCCUUCUGAAAGCACUCUUCUACCUUUUUCCGAUCGCCGGUGACAGUGAUCACUCCUUUGGGACCUGGCAUUUUCAGUUUGAGGUACACGUAACAUGGUCGAGCCAUGAACCGUGCGUAGGCUGGCCUCCCCAAAAUGGCGUGGUACGCACUCUGAAAAUCCACAACCUCAAAGGUCAACUUUUCCUUGCGAAAAUGUUUUGAAUCACCAAAAACCACGUCCAGAGCUAUUUGGCCGAGUGACUCAGCUUUCUUCCCUGGUAUGACUCCGUGGAAACUCAUGUUGCUGGUGCUCAGUCGGGACAUCGGGAUGCCCAUUCCUUUCAGCAUGUCUGCAUACAAUAAGUUCAGCCCACUACCACCAUCCAUCAGCACUUUCGUCAGUCGAGUGCCUUCGACAACUGGAUCGACCACCAAAGCUUGCCUCCCAGGGGUGGCAAUAUGAGUCGGGUGAUCAGAUUGGUCGAAUGUGAUGGGUGUUUGGGACCAUCUCAGAUAACUUGGUUUUGCUGGGGCAACCAUGUUCACCUCACGGUUAAUGACUUUCAGUCGACUCUUGCUUUCCACAUCUGCGAAGAUCAUCAGAGUGGAGUUGACAUGCGGAUAUCCUCCCUCACUGUCCUCUUUGUCUUCGGCCUUGUCCGACUCCUUCUCCUUGUCCUUAGACUGUUUUCCCUGAAACUGCUGGAUCAGGAGUCGACACUGGCGAGUGGUGUGCUUUGGGUAAAUGAUGUUGCCCUCUUCAUCUUUCUUCGUGUGGAUGUGACACGGCAUAUCCAUCACGUCGUUUCCUUCUUUAUCCUUUACUUUCUUAGGAUUCCAGGAUCCUUUUGGCUUCCCCUUGAACUUUGCCUGAGUCACGGCCAGGGCCUCUCCAGGAGCUGCUGGCUCGGCUUUCCGCUUCUGUUUCCGACUGGAAUUUCCCUUCUCCGACUGACUUGGCUUGUACUUGCCGCUUCGGAGUCGGUCCUCUUCCUCGCCGUUGGCGUACUUGGUAGCAAUCUCCAUCAUUUGACUCAGGGUCAUGUCCCCGGUUCGACCAAACUUCACACUCAAUUCUCUGUUCUUGACGCCAUCUUUGAAGGCGCAAACUGCCUGAUGAUCAGACACAUUUUCCACAGUAUGGUGCAGAGUGAUCCACCUCUGAAUGUACUCUCGGAGAGUCUCAUUGGUCUUCUGCACACAGACUUGCAGCUCUGUCAAACCAGCUGGUCGCUUGCAAGUUCCUUCAAAAGUUCUGACGAACACUCGGGACAAAUCUUCCCAAGUGUAAAUACUGCUAGGAGGUAACUGAUUCAACCAUGCUCUGGCAGAACCUUCCAACAUGAGGGGCAAAUGCUUCAUGGCCACCUCGUCGUUCCCACCACCAAUCUGAACAGCCACUCGGUAAUCUUCAAGCCAAGUUUCAGGCUUGGACUCCCCAGUGAAUUUGCUGACUCCUGUUGCCAACCUAAAAUUGGGGGGAAUCACUGCAGCUCUGAUAGCCCUGCUAAAACUCUCUGGACCAGAAACAUGCACUCGACUGCUUGUGGGUGCAUCUCUCUCGGGUCCGCCUCGAUGGGCUCUGUUCCGGUCGACCAAGCCUUGCACGAUGAUGGAUCGCGCGUCGAAGCCUGGUUCCCUGGGGUCGACUGGGGCUCUUCGCCCCGCACUAAACUGACGCCUGUCAUCCUGUCGCCGAGGAGCGUAAGACCCAUCCCUCGGAGGAGAAGCGGGCACUCGACGCCUGUCAUCUCGGUCGUGUCGGUCUCCAUAUUGAUCUCGCCGGUUGUCGCGCCCUUCCCGCCGCGGAGGCGAUCUGGGACUGUGAGCCGACUGAACCGUAUUCGCAGCGACGGAUCGACUGUGAAUUCUGUUGCGCGACUGCGACACGGCUGAGUUCUGAUCUCCUGCUGCUCGGAGUAAAUCUCUGAUUUGCAUCAAGCCUCUCCCAGCUUCCGACUGAGAAGGCUGGAUGGACUCUGCUAUACGGGUUGCAACUGCUAAAUUCUGGAUUGGGGUUCGAUAUACCUGAGUCGGCGGAAAGAGUUGACGUCGAUUGGCGUCGGGGACUCGUUGCCGCGCGCGCUCGUCGAGUGCUCGCUGAAGGUUUUCCAGAUGAGUGCGUUCAGCCACAUUGGCCAAACGUGCCUCCUCCAAGGCACGAGCCUCGGGGGUUUCUCCCGCGAUGGGAGUAUGCAGGGCAUCCAUGUUCCUGCAGCGAAGCUCUUCUCUCUGCAGAGAGUCGAGUGUCUCGGGCUGGUACUCUUCGUGAUCUUGUGCGGGGUCACCACCACCGCCUGCUCCGCCCCCAUGGGCGAAGCCGGGAGGACUGCGGGGUCCGUCGACCAUGAGAAUUUCCGCCGCCGGAUCACUGCUAUCGCAUUCGGAUGCAGUCUCUACAGAGCCAGUCGACAGAUCGAACAGGCCGUAGAGAGAUUCGUCGGGCUCAAUUGCCGCAACUUGGGCGAUGGCCGUCUGGCGAGCCACCGCGUGCUUCACCCACCGCUGAAGCCUCGACCGACCAGAGCACUUGCGCUGGUGGGAGACCGGGCGGGUGGCCGAUAAAGGAGUCGACCGAUACGGGGUCGACGGUUGCCACAGCAGAACGCGGCGGACACAUGCGCAAAAAUGCGUCGCACCGCGGACGGGGAGAGCAUCAACGUCGAGUGGAGCCUCCUGGAGCCACGCGGAGUCGUCGGCGACAAAGGUGAGAGCGCCGAGACGGAUCUCGCGCCCCUUGACCAAAACUCCAGCAGUCAUCAUGAUGAAAGUACUCGGAAGUACCGCAACUUCUCCACAAAAUCGCUAAAACACCUGCCCCAAGGUGGGCGCCAACUGUCGUGGUUCUAAGUCUGACAGUAGAGUGGGGGUAGGUAUGGAGAGGCAAGGUCCUAGCUAUGGAGAGGUUGUAAACACAAGCGAUGUACGAUUUCAGGCCCUUCUCGGAGGAAGUAAAAGCCCUACGUCUCGGAGCCCUGAGGCGGUCGAGUGGAUUAUGUAUGUAUGUGUUACAGGGGUGCGAACCCUUCUGCCUGUGGAGGGGGGUGGCUUAUAUAGAGUGCGCCAGGACCCCUACCAGCCCACGUAAUGAAGGGUUUAAUGUACAUUAAGUCUGGGGCGUUACUGGUAACGCCCCACAUAAAGUGUCUUAACUACCAUAAAGUCUAUUCAAUUACAGGCCGUUGCAGUGCAGAGUGCCUCCUGACCUUCUGGUGGUCGAGUGAGUCUUCAUGGUCGAGUGAGUCUUCAUGGUCGAGUCCUUCUAGUCAGUCGAGAGGGUUCCUCCUUGGUCGACUGGAAGGUGAUCUCUUCUAAGGGUGUCCUUGGGUAGGGUACUUAGAUCAGGUCUAUGACCCUACCCUAGGUACAUGAAUCCAUCACCUACCUCCCACCUCCUCUCUCCCUCACUUUGCUUCUUCCUCACUACUUCUCCCCCAUUACUCUCCUUCUUCUACCUUCCUUUUUCUCUCUUUAUUACUCCUAGCUAGCUUACACCACCUCCAUUAAUGCAUCUCCUUUCUCUUUUCCUCUCCCUCCACUAGAUAAAGUCAUCUCCUUUCCCAACUAGCUUGGUAAAUCUACCCAUUUAAUGAAGUGAGCUAUGUACCUCCCUAACUAGACCUAGCCAUCUCAAGAAGUAAGAUUUGUCCACUUUUGAUCAUUCCUUAGGUGUGUGGUGACACCGAUCGACAUCAUCAUCACCGUGCUUGAUCUUGAGAUAGGUGAUUAAAAAUUUGUGCUUUCGCAAGAAUGGAGAUAUGUGUAUGUGUGCGAUAUGACAUAAAAUCGCAUGAUAUGAUGGAAAUUGUGUGUGUGGCUUGAGUUGUAGCUGAAUUGUGCUUGAGUUGCCUAUGUUUUGCCGAAAUGUCGAUUUAUUUCCGUUUCGGCGAAUUUCGGGCAAACUCUAUAUGUCCUAUUUUUAGGGAAGGUCAUGCCGAAUUUUUGUAUGACUUUGAUGCAUGCACACAUUUUUAUAAUCAAUUUGUUUAUUAUUACCAUGCAGGAAUUUAUGAUGGUCAGUGGAACGAUGGUGGAUAGGUGGUUGCGGUCGGCGGUGCAGGACAUGAAAGAAAAUAACUUGACCGAGGUUUUAUGUCUGUGUUGAAGAUGCAAAGGAAUAGUUUGGCUCAACCCCUAUGACGAUGGUCGUGUCGAAGCGCACCUGCUCAUGACUGGUUUCAUGGAUGGCUAUACUCGGUGGAUAAUUGAAGAUGAGGAUGAUGAUGUUGAGGACGCCGACAGGACAGGCAAUGACGACAUGGGGCAAGAUGAAAAGAUGAUCGAUAAUGGCGGCAGGGAAGAGGCCGGACAUGGUAGAGGAGAAGGGUCCAGGCAUGAUGGAGGAGAAGGGGGCGGACAUGGCGGCGGAGAAGGGGCCAGACAUGGCGCUGGCGAGAACGUGAACUCCAUGCUGCAGAGUUCGUCGGUACUAAGUUCAAUCGUGCGAGACCCUCAUGUUCAAGCACUGCUUCGCAAGGAGACGAGUACUGAGAGAGUUGCUUCUAGAGAGGAGGCUAAGCUGCAGCAACUGGUGGUAGACUCGAACACUCCAUUGUAUGAUGGUUGCAAUCCUGAGGUGACCCGCUUGAGUUUCAUGCUCCAACUCCUGAAGACGAAGGUUAAAAACGAAUGGACCAACACUAGCCUUGAUGUGCAUCUCAAGUACCUAAAGGAUGUUCUUCCCGUGGGGAAUCUAUGUCCUACUAGUGUGGAUGAGGCCAAGAAGAUCGUGUGCCCUCUUGAUCUGCCGCACGUUAGAUACCAUGCCUACAUCAAUGAUUGCAUAAUUUAUCGGAAGGAGCACAUGGAAAAAACAACCUGUCCGAUGUGCAAUGCUUCUCGAUACAAGAAGGCCGGGAAGAAAUCUCCCCAGAAAGUUGUAUGGUAAUUACCGAUCACUCCCCGUCUCCAGCGGUAUUUUGUAGAUCCCAUGGAAGAAAAGCUCAUGCACUGGCACGUGGAGAGGAAGAAGCCCGACGAUGGAGAUGAUCCGAAGCUGAGACACAUCAAGGAUGGAAGCCAGUGGAGAGCGUUGAACGACUUCUAUCGGUAUUUCGAAUGUGAUGCAAGGAACAUCAUGCUCGGCAUGUGUACCGAUGGCAUGAAUCCAUUUUAAAACCAGAACACCAACCAUAGCACAUGGUCUGUGUUUGUAUGGAUGUACAACCUCUCCCUGGUUGUGCAUGAAGUCAAAGUACAUUCACAUGAGCAUGCUGAUUCAAGGGCCGAAACAACCAGGAAAUAAUAUUAGUCUGUAGUUGGGGGUACUUCAAGAGGAGUUAGACACGUUAUGGAAAACACCGGCCAAGACAUGGGACGCCAGCAAAGGCGAGUAUUUCUACAUGAGAGUCGCGCUGAUCACGACGGUGCACGACUAUCUCGGUUAUAGAUAUGUCGCAGGCCAGGUGUGCCAUGGAUAUCAUGGAUGCACGCGAUGCAUGGAUGAUAUGAUGUCUCAGCAGCUAACAUCAAGGAAAGAGGGCAGGUCUGGGAAAAUCGUGUACAUGGGGCAUCGAAGAUGGCUCAAGAAGGACGGCCCAUGGAGAAACUGUGGAGAUCUAUUCAAUGUUCACGGUAAGCAUCGAGGACCUCCAUGUAAGCGAAGCGGCGCCAAAAUCGAUGAGCUAUUGAAAAACUGGGAGCAGUGCUCCGCGCCGGGAAAGACGAUGAAAAAGGCGCCGGAGCCGCUGCUGAAGGUAUGGAAGAUGAGGUCUGUGUUCUGGGACUUAGAGUACUGGCACAAACUCGACAGACCUAAUUGCCUUGAUCAAAUGCAUAUCUGUAAGAAUGUCCUUGAGAGCUUGCUCGCGACACUCAUGAACAUGCCGGAAAGACCAAGGAUGGGCCGAAGGCAAGAAAAGACUUUCAAGAUUUGGAAAUCAGGGAAGAUCUGCACAUGCCGCCCCGUAAAAAGUCAGACAAGACAGAGACGGAGACAGAGGCGCGAGAGAAGAAGGGCAAAAAAGUAAAGGAAGAGGAUUAUUGCCCCCCUUCUUGCUUCACCUUAAGUCCGCCUGAGAUCGAUCAAUUAUUUAAGUGCCUUACCGGAGUCAAAGUUAGUUCCGGUUACUGUGGCAAGAUGAGUAGAUAUCUAGACACGAACAAGAAAAGUUCAGUGGGUUGAAGUCCCAUGACUGUCAUGUGAUGAUGAUGCAAAUACUACCCGUUGCCCUUAGAGGGAUAAUGGACAAGCACAUCCGUGACACUCUUAUUGGUCUCUGCAACUUUUUCGAGUCAUCUCUCGAAAGUCGAUCAGUGUGAAGCAGCUCCGAAGGCUACAGGAAGAGAUCAUUGUGAUACUGAAUGAGCUUGAGAUGUACCUCCCGCCCGCGUUCUUUAACGUCAUGGUGCAUCUUUGUGUCCAUAUUGUGGACGACAUAAUAGACCUGGGGCCGUCAUUCCUGCACAACAUGAUGUCGUUUGAGAGGAUGAAUGGGAUUAUCAAAGGAUUCGUUCGUAACAUGUCCCAUCCGGAUGGAAGCAUCGUCCAUGGCUAUCUGACACAAGAGUGCAUCUCUUUCUGUGAGAAUUUUCUAUAUGGCACGGACCAGCCGCCUGGUGUUGGUGUUGGUUUGCCCGUUAACAAGCACGAUGAGAGGUUCGAAGGACAAGGCUACUCCAACGGUCGUAGGGAACUGCACGUGGCAUACUCAGAUCGACGCGACGACUUUGACAAAGCAAACUUGGUAGUGCUACAACACCUGGACGAGGUAGAUCCUUUCGUGGCAUGGCACAAAGAAAUUAUCGCAAAGAAGUAUCGUGACCUAGGGGUAUGCAGGACGGACACUGACGUUACUAGAGAGCACACCUCCACUUUCCUGCAUUGGUUCAAAGAGCAUAUUAUUGCUAAUCCCGCGGAAGAGGGCUCUAAGGACGGAUUGCUCAUAUACGCCUUAUCACAUGGCCCCUCGCCCAACCUCGUCACCUAUCAGGCAUACGAUAUCAACGGAUACACGUUCAACACGGAGGCCAAAGAUAUGGACAGUGAUGAUCAGAACACAGGGGUGACGAUGGAAUGCAUGACCGGCAGCGACAAUGACACAACUGAGAGAUUUUAAGGAAGGGUCGAGGAGAUCUGGGAGCUUAACUACUCUGGACUGCACAACGCGACGAUGUUCCAUGUCAGAUGGGCUAAAAAUGUUGAAAGAGAAAACCGGUAUUCACUACCAUGACUAUACCCAACGCCAAGAGCGCUACUGUGAACGCUAUCGCAAAAAAUGAGCCAUGGGUACACGCUAAGCACGUGACACAAUCCUUCUUCAUAACCAACCCAUUCAAUCCCAGCUGUGUUGUCGUGAGGAGAGGCAAAAGGAACAUCAUUGAAAUGGAUGGAGUCGCCAACGACGAAGACUACGACCAGUACGGCAACCCAAUGAGGGAAGAUGGCAAUGGCGAUGAAGUAUAUGUCAAAAGAAGAAUCAAUAAUGCAGUACCUAAGAAAGAUCGUACUCCAUGGAAAAGGAAAAGUCACAAUGAGGGGCUCAAUUAUUCUUCAACGAACAAGAAGGGAAAGAAGCUCACUCAAAAAUGAAAAAGUCAAUGCUGAGGAACCACACGCUAUCGGUCAAAUUAUGUAAUAUAUAUGUUCCUAUUUUGUGUACACACUUGGCCAUUAUGCAUUGGUCAAAUGAUGUAAUAUAUAUGUUCCUUUUUUGUAUACAUACUUAACCGUCAAAUGAUGCAAUAUAUAUCACCUUAGUUAUAUACAUUGUAUCACCUUCCCUUCAUUCACUGCUCUCGGAAAAAAGGAAAAGAAAAUAAAAAAGGGAGAGAAAACAAAGGAAAAGAAAAUAGAAGAAACAAAUAGGAAAACUGCUAUAGGUACUGGCUAUAGCAGUAGAGCUUUCUGCAGAAAAACGCUAUCGCUAUCUGCAACAGUAGUAGCGCUUUCUAACAAAAACAAUAUAGCUAUCUGUAAUAGUAGUAGCGCGGUCUGUGCAAAAGUGCUAUAGCUAACUUAGUUAUAGCGCAUUUGUCUGGAAUGCGCUACUUCUACCUCAACUUAACCCCCAAAAUCCUCACUCUCUCUGCUUCUUCCCGCCUCUGCUUUUCCCCCCAAAUCCCCACUCUCUCUUCCCUUGUGUCGUCGCCGCUGGAGCCCUCGACCCCAUCCUGGCGCUCUCCCCCGACCCUGGCGCUCGCCCCGUCCCCGCGCUCGGCCCCGUCUCCCCCGACCCUGGCGACCCUCCGUGCCAUGCCGUCUCCCCCGACCCCGCCUCGCCUCGCUGCCGCACCGUCUCCCCUGACCCCAUCUCUCUCUCUCUCUACCCUCUGUAAGCCCUCUCCCUCCCCUCUUCUCUGCUAUUUAAUGCUAGUUAGUAUUAUGAAAUAGUAUGAACCCUAGGCUAUUUUUUAGUGUAAGAAAAAACAGAAUUGAUUAUAUAGGUUUCUUGCAUUUUUUAGUUAAAGCAAUUGUUGUUAUUUAAAUUUUAUAGUGAUAUUUAGUUAAUUAGCAUUAGUAUGAAACCUAGGACAGAUUAGUUAAAGCCAUUGUUGCUAUUUAAAUUUUUUAGUUAAAGCAAUUGUUGCUAUUUAAAAAAAAGAAUUUGAAGUGGACAGAUUAGUUCUAUAUUUUUAAAAAAACAUGACUUCUUGCAUUUUUCUUCAAGUUCUAUAUUUUUCUUCCUUUUAUAUGCAAAUUUGAAGUGGACAUGUGAUAUGUCGACAUGUGAUUUGGACAUGUCAUUUGGACAUGUGAUGUGUAGGGUAAAUGAUCCGAGUGGACUAAGUUUUGCCAGAAUGUCAAUUCAUUUUCGUUUCAGCGAAUUUCAAGUGCUCAAUAUGUCCACUUUUUAGCAAAGGUCAUGCCGAAAUUUUUCUUGAAUUUUGGCAUGACUUGUGCUAGAAAGUAGGCAUAUCGAGUGCAGGGAGUUGCUGGGAACGGCAUUCCAACAAACAUAGAUCUUUUUUUAUGUCAUUUCUCAUUUUUUUAUAGUUUUAGAAUUAAACGAGGAGACUUAAUCAUAGGAAACAUGUCGAAAAUGAAGAAACCGGGCCUUCUGACCAAGAUGCAAAUGAGAUGGAUUAUCAGGGUGAACAAGAGUACCUCGACUUUUUGUCUGCUAGGCACAGUCAAAGUUUGCAGGUCAUCCCCGAUGAUGGUACUGACACCGACAUCGACACCGACGGCGCCGGCACCGAUGGCGGUGCCGAGAUCGGAGGGGAAGAUACCGACGCCGAUGCCACUACUGGAGAGAAGAAGCAGAAGAAUCAGAGGAUACAAAAACCUAACAAACUCGGCACCAGACGACUGGUGAUCACAAAGAUGGCACCUGGCAAGUUUGAGCCAUUAGAGCCGGAAAAACCUCACAAGUGCUACGGGAACCAAGUAGGAUGCAUCCUAUGGGAAUGCGCGAGCAUCAACAACGAUGACUUAAGGAGUAAAGAACAUUUGUGGCAGUUGCUCCUGACGAAGUUGCACAAGAGAUUAAAGUUCCUCAACUGAGAUGAUAGCAUAGAGCUACCGUGGGAUGUCCCAAAGAUGAAAAGUAUUAACAACCACACCAUGGGCAUGUUCAAAAAUGAUUUGGCCUCUUGGAAAGGGAGGGUGAAACGAGCUAUUGAGGCUGAGGAACCCCUGUCCAAGAUUCUGGAGGAAACUCCAACACUUACAGAAGAGGAGUUUGAAAAGUUCCAUGACACUUGCACUACCGAGGCAGCCAAGGCUAAGGCUGCGAAAUUCAAGAGCCUUCAGCAAAGGAACACGGGGAAGCAUCACCUCGGAAGCCGUGGCUACCUUGGCAAAAGGCCCAUAUGGGAUAAGGAUGAUGCAGAACGUGAAGCCAUGGGUCUCCCAGACCCCUUCGCGAAGUUCACCAAAUCCUUGGAGCGUGACUUCAUCAGGGCCCGCAACAAGUGGGACAAGAAAAGGAAGGUUUUUUACACGGACGAGAUCACAAGGACAUUGAUUAGAUUACUGGUAGUUAUUCUUUUACCACCUUACAUUUAGCUCCUGAUCAAGUCGACUACACAUUCGUAAACGGUUCACGUUUCUUCUAUAGGAGAAGCAACACCAGCUUGCAGCCGAAAGCCCUACUUCACCGAUGAGGCCCAAGUGCGACACCCCUCUCAACCGGGCCUUGAAUGAACUUAAGGGUCUCCCUUUGGGACAGCGGCCGCAAUAUGGACGUGUGCACGGCGCCGGAGACCGCGCCACCUGGAAGGUGUUUUACAACAAGGUCCCGAAGACCAAGAAGCAGAAAAAGAAGCUUAGUCAGGCGGACAUCAAUGAGAAGGUGAAGCUUGCGGUCGAGAAAAAAGCAACUGAGGACGCGCAAGGAGCAGCCGAGGAGAAACAUGAUUUGCUACAGCACGCAGUAUAUGCAGCUGUAAAUGCCUACAGAAAUGAUUUCGCUACUAACUUGGUCCCACCUAUCAUCAACUCGAUGAAGGAAAAUCCACACAAGUGUGACACCCCAAAAAUUUUAACCUUGUUUUAUUAAUUAAAAUUUUGCCAGGAAACUUAAACUUUUAUUUUCUGGAUUUCCUUUUGAUUUCGGAACCAUUCUUUUCUUUAAUAUUAUGGAGUUCUUACCCAAAGUGAAAACUUUUCAAUCAUUAUUGGACUUAUUUACCCUCUCAAAUAAAAUAAUUCUUUUGUCAGUGGGAUUAUUUAUACAAUUAUUUUUCCCUGAGCUUUAUUUCUCUAAAUUGGUUUUUCAUAAGUUUUAGGGUCCCAUUUGCACUGCAACCUCUUGAUAAAUUCAUUUAAAAAUCACACCAAAAUUUGGGGAUGACCUAUGAUGUCCCAAAAUCACUUUUAUGCAAAAAUAUUCUUUGGUCAUUUGGUGAUUUUUAGAUUUACCCCUAGUUUUCAAAUCUGGUCAAAUUUCACUUUUGCACUACAACCUAUUUAAAUAUUUCUUUAAAACUUCCACCAAAAUUAGGGGAGGUCAGUAGGAGUAUAUUAUUCAUCUUUAUGCAAAAACCCAGUUAUGUCCUUUGAAAAAAUUUGAGUAAAUCAUCCUCAUUUUCAUUCUGGUCCAACUUGAUGAUUUGUACUGCAACCAUAUUUUAACUUGCCCUUUUUCCCUUGAUUAUUUUUCCUGCUUAUAGACCACCCUACAAAACCCUUAAGUCCAGGAGAGUGGACCCAUUGGAGUAUGUUUGGUCCAUGCAAUCAUGCCUUUUCUUUCUGUCCAAAACUGAAGAUUUGCAAAACUUGCACUAGCAAGUUUCUGGCUUUGCCCAAAUGACCUUGCCACCAUCACCUACACCUAAAGAGACACUAGUCUGGAGAGUUUGGCCACCCCAAGAAGUGCCUAGGUGCAUGUGGCAUUCUGUCAAGCACCUUGUGUGCAUGGUCAGAUUUGACAUGAGUUUUUGUUUGCACACUGGACCUACUUGCUUUGCCUAACCACCAUGUCCACUAAGCCUCUAGACUACCCUAACCUAAUACUGUUAAACCCCAUCUCCACCCUAGCCUCCUAGCAAGCCCUGGCAUUUCACCGAACACCUGGUGGGCGUGCUCUGGGCGCGGCCAGAGCGCGCGUUUUGCAUGUGCAUGCACCCGAGCCGCCGCGUUCGCUCGCCCCGCGCCCCUGGCCUUUACGCGCCUGCUGUCGUGGAUUUGUCACGGCAGAUGUCCUUAGUGUGAGCACUUAGUCGCGAGGCCAGCGCAUCUAUGUGGUAGCUUGAGAGGGGUUGAUUGGGACGAGAGACACAAUACACAAGACAAGGAUUUAGACAGCUUCGGGCCCCGGGAAACAUCAUUCGGAAUAGCCCUACAUGCUGUUUGAUGCUAGGUCUCAUUAUGCUCAUCAAGAGUCGCCGCAUAAGCCGGCUCCCCCUUUGUGUCUAGCCCUAGAUAUUGUUUCUUGUUACUUGCUUGUUCCUUCUCCCUCUUUGGGGAGCCCUGCCCAUCCUUAUAUAUGUUGAAGGGGCGGGUUACAUGACUAGUCCUAGUUGGACUAGGAUUACUCUAUUACAAGUGGAGUCCUAGUCUUGCUUCCUUUUGUAGGAGAAUAGUCCUUAUGCUUUCCUCAUAAACCGUCCCACCAUUAAACGUGAACCGGCCUUCCAUAAACCGCCCGUUGGGCCACCGGGUCUUGGCGCUCCUCUGACCUGCCUGCCGGAUUACCAAUGAAUCUUAAACUGCCAGGUCCAAGUGGGUCGCCGGUGAAUCUCCAAACUCUAGCCGGGUCAUACAUCCGGCGGUUUAUACCACAGGGUAUAUCACCGACAUUAGCCCCCAGUUUAAUUUGGAUUCAUCAAUGUUAAACUGAUCUGCAACACAAGAACAAAUUUGUCGGGUUGUGCUCCGAUUAAAAUAUCCUUGUAAACCGGCACUUGAUCAUCCUUAAAUCCUUCUAAAAAAUCCAAGUUAAUAACCAUCUUCAUAAUCAAUUUUCUUGCAAAAGAUAUUUUGUAAAUAAAGAAUCCAUUUGAAUCGGCCUUCAAUGCUCUGACUUGACAAAAAUAUUAGUCUCUAAAAUAUUCAACUAAUAUCCAGCCGACUUGAAGAUGUAAAACUUGCUGGUUUAUGAUUACCACCAUUGUCGGGUUAUAAAAACUCAUAAUUCCGGGUCAUGAUUGUUGCCAACGCCGGUUCAUGAUUGUUGCCAACGUGGGUUCAUGAUUAUUGAGGACGCCGGUUUGCAGACACAGGGUCAUAAUGAUUGGUGACACCAGGUCAAUUCGGUUUGCUCAAAACAGAGAAUUUGAAAAUAGUUCUUCGAUAAUAAUACCUGUAGCCCCCAAGUCUUGAGCAGAACAAAGUGAUGGCUUAAGACUUGCUUCAAUAUAAAUACUGCCACUUAAGAACAAAUCCAUGUUGUUCAUGCCAGUCACUUAGUAAAAACUGAAUACUCCAUAUUAUGUAGCCCCCAAGUGCCGGGUUGUCAUGCUUGCAGCAACCUAGGACUUGUAAUUGUGUGAUGCUCAUAAAAACUUCAACCAGUGUAGCCCCCAAGGGCCGGGUCAUUAUGCAAUAAUGAGCAGGGACUUUGUAAAUAUAAUCAUGUAAUCUUUGAACAGCAAUGAUGUAGCCCCCAAGGGCCGGCUUAGUAAGAUAAUAUUGAGCUAGGACUUUGAUAUAUACUUAAAUGAAAAUAACAUCACAUGAUGUAACCCCCAUCAUGGGGCUUUAAUUCAUGUCCACAAGGUUACGAGCCUUGUGCUUCACCAACUGAGCAGUGGACCCUUCAAUAUAAUGAAUAAAAAGCUUUGUACCUUGAAUUGUUUGACAGGAGCAAUUGGUAGCCCCCAAGGGCCAGCUCAUUAUAAUGUGAUGAGUCGGGUCUUCAAUAAGAUGAACAAAGAAUGACUUUGCAUUAGCCCCCAAGUGUCAUCGUGCAUGCUUGCAGCGACAUGAGACUUGCAUAUUUGAUGUAAUCUCAACAUAAAUAAUGUAGCCCCCAAGUGCCGGGUUGUAAGCCUGCAGCAACUCGGAACUAUUCCUUCAAUUGUAGAAUAAAAAUCAUAUCCAUUGAUAAUAUGAUAGCCAUUGCGCUAAAGCGACUUUGAAAACCUUAAUCAUAAUACUGGUUAUUGAUAACCAUAAUAGAAAUCCAGCCAUGUUGGCUAUUUGAAUAAUAUACCCAAUGAUUUAUAAGCGCACAAUUCCAAUGGCGCAAUCCAAAUAUAUACUGGCGACUUAUAGUCCAAAGCCAGGCCAGUUUAAUAAACACCGGACAAUUUCUCAUCAUAUACUGGCGACUUAUCGUCUUAAAGCCAAGCCGGUUUAAUAAAUACCGGCAAUUUACAAUCAUUCUUUACUCAACCUGUUUCUGCAUACAGCAAGUUACAGUGUCCUGGCGAUUUACCGCCGGACGGGUCAUGAUGCCCAAUAUAUAACCCAGGUUUAUAACCAAUGCUGCACUUAAGAAUAAUCAAAUAGGAAAUAUAGCGUACAUGUGACAUUGAAUCACGUCGUUGGUUUACCAACUUUUGUAGUAAGGGUGAUACCCAAAUUUCGAGUACUGAUAACUCCUCUCAUAUUUUGCCGGUUUCUGAUAAAACUGUGCCGGGUUGUAAAUAAACACUGGAUGAUCAUCCUGGUGACUUAUAAUCAAUGCCAGGCCGGAUUGAAAGAUGCCGGUUCACCAUUGAUUAUAUGCUUAACAGCUGAUAACUGUAAGCCAUACCGGGUUAAGAAACACCGGGUUUAGAUGAAGACAUAUAGUCUGGCCGGGUCGAGAGACGCCGGUUCAACAUUAAAUUUAUCAAAAGAGAAAAAUCUUGACAAGGAAAAUAAAACCGUGUAGUCGAGGCUUUUUGAGGGCUGCCAGGCCCAAAUUCGAGGCUUUUCAUGGGCUACCAGGCUGCUGAGUUGAACCAUUUAACAAAGCCUUUUAAGAUGGACCUCCAACUAAACAAUCACCGUUUUAACUUUGACAAGUGCAGGGUCUCAAUGAGAGUAAUUGUCAAACGUUCGGACGGUCGUGCCAGGAUGACCUGGAUAGGAGUGUCUUACUUGAUGAAGGCAGGUUAACCUGGGGUUUUAGGUAAAUAUACCAGGCUUCCAAGUCGUGGGUCGAUACCCAGCUACAAGGGUCCGUUCAAACUCCUUGGUAUUUGACACAAGGAUCCCCCAAGUAACGUGAUGAGCUGUGCUCAUUAGGUGCCUAUGUUUGAGCUGUGCAUAGCAUCCAGACUCUCUUUGGCCCCUUGGGUGUGAAGCUCCCAAGUUAUGUUAUGACGUGAUAGCCGGAUUAAUGGAUAGAACUCCGCUUUGUCAGCUGAAGCCCCAUGUAACCAAUAAUAUGAUAAGCCAAUAAGGCGAGAUACCCAUGUUUGAACCGUGCAUCAUGGCAACAGGUUCUCUUCGGCAAUCUUUAACUUUUUGCAAGAGAUAAAUUCUUCUUGAACCGGAAAUUCUUAAACCGGAUAUUUAGAGCUUCAAAGCUUUGUGGGAGAUAAUUUUCCCUUAAGCCGGAUAUUAAACCGGAAUCUUCAUUUUCAGCCAGAAAUUUUCUGACGGCCUUUCAACUCGAACUUGCGAGAAAUUAAUUCCUUUUUGAACCGGACAUUUUUAAACCGGAUUUGAACGCUUCAGAGCUAUGGGAGAAUAGAUUUCCCUUGAACCGGAUUAUAAACCGGAUCCUUUCUGAUGACCUGGAACUUCUUCAUUGAACCGGGAUUUUGUAACUGUUAUAUGCUUUCUAAGCCGGAAAUUUUCUGGCGGCCUUUAAAUUUUCAUCAAUAUAGCAGUAGCCUCCGGGACCGGGUUAUCUUUUCCUCCAUCGUCCUGGGGUUCUUAAAUUUGCUGAAAAUCAGCAACCCUUGCUUGAGUCAUAUCAUUGUAGCCUCCGAGUCUCAAGGCGACUCGAGGAGUUGGCUUGAGAUUCUCCAUAUUUCGACCGUGAUAUAAACCGGCAUAACUUGUAUAUCAUUGGUGUUGAUAGCAUGAUGUGAAUCCACAGAAGGUUGAGGUGACUGCGGUGGUGUAUAAAUAAUCCCGUAUGAGCCGUGUCAGCAACUCGGCCAAUGGUUCCUUCCAACUAGCUAUUUGAAGUUAACCAAACUGUAAUGGCGGCGACUUGUGUGCUUGCCCAUUGAGCCACCCAGUGCAGACGGCGGUUGAUAGUAUAUGGGCUCCAUUUUGUUGAAAGAAAACCGGGCUACCCAAGCUGUGACUUGCUCAUACUCAAUAAACAGCUCAUGCAAACAGGUGCGGCCCGGUGUGUUGAUGUAGACCAGGCCGUGAGAGACGGAGGAAAAAGAUGACCUCCGCAUCAGAGGUGGCUCAAACAGAUGAACCAGCCGCGGUAUUGUAAACCGGCGCGGACGGGCGAGUUAACCACAUCGUUUUGAUGUAGUGAACAAUUGUCCUGCAUCAACAAUGUUGCAAACCAAGAAAAGGAUAAACUGUUCUUUGAUAAAAAAAAAUAUAUGUUAAUAAAAUAAAGUUAGACAAAUAUCACCUGAUGCAUUUGAACGCCAGUCAUGGAUGGGCAUAUUAUUACUGCUAGAAACAAUAGAUGACCCUGAACCGAAACUUUUUGAUAAUCUGGAACUUUUUGAUCCGGAACUUCUGGAUAAUCCGGACGGGACUUUUUGACAAUCCAGAACUUUUGAACCAGAACCUCUUGAUAACCCGGCCAAAACUUUUUGAGCCGGAACUUUUUGAUCCGGAACCUGUGGAUAAUCCGGCCGAAACUUUUUGAGCCGGAACUUUUUGAUUCGGAACCUCUGGAUAAUCCAGCCGAAAUUUUUUGUUCAAUCUAAGUCGAAACCCUUUAGCGACUCGGAUGGAACCUUUUGGUGAUUCGGCUGGAACUCUUGGGCGAUUCAGACAGAACCUUUCGUCGAGGCGGCCGGAACUUUUUUGCCGAUUCAGACGCAACCUUUCAUCGAGGCGGUCAGAACAUUUUGCCGAUUCAGAUGGAACCUUUCGUCGAGGCGGUCGGGACUUUUUGCUGAUUCAGACAGAACAUUUUGUCGAGGCUGUCGGAACUCUUUCGGUGAUUUAGACGGAACCUUUCGUCGAGGCGGUCGGAACUUUUUCGGCUGCCAGCUGGAACUCUCCGACAAACUGACCGGAACUUCUUCAAUAAGCUGGGUGGAACUUCUCGAUUCCUAGGAUAGCGCCCUCCAAGAACUCAACACCACCGUGCGCGAGCCCCAUGGUGGGCGCCAACUGUCUUGGAUUUGUCACGGCAGAUGUCCUUAGUGUGAGGACUUAGUCGCGAGGCCAGCGCAUCUAUGUGGUAGCUUGAGAGGGGUUGAUCUGGACGAGAGACACGAUACGCAAGACAAGGAUUUAGACAGCUUCGGGCCCCGGGAAACAUCAUCCGGAAUAGCCCUACAUGCUGUUUGAGGUUAAGUCUCAUUAUGCUCAUUGAGAGUCGUCGCAUAAGCGAGCUCCCCCUUUGUGUCUAGCACUAGAUAUUAUUUCUUGUUACUUGCUUGUUCCUUCUCCCUCUUUGGGGAGCCCUGCUCCUCCUUAUAUAUGUUGAAGGGGCGGGUUACAUGACUAGUCCUAGUUGGACUAGGAUUACUCUAUUACAAGUGGAGUCCUAGUCUUGCUUCCUUUUGUAGGAGAAUAGUCCUUACACUUUCCUCAUAAAUCGGCCCACCAUUAAACGUGAACCGGCCUUCCAUAAACCGCCCGUUGGACCACCGGGUCUUGUUGCUCCUCUGACCUGCCUGCCGGAUUACCAAUGAAUCUUAAACCGCCAGGUCCAAGUGGGUCAUCGGUGAAUCGCCAAACUCUAGCCGGGUCAUACAUCCGGCGGUUUAUACCGCGGGGUAUAUCCCCGACACCUGCAGAGCCACACCCCGACCUCAUCCACUCACCAGAACACGCCAGCUCGUCCCUGGGGCCGAACAGCACCGCCAUCAGGUCGGCCACGGCGGCUAGCGGCCAGCCACAGUGGGCUUCUGCCCCGGACGGCGCCGCCCGAGCCACCCCAGCGCGCCAGCUGCCCUCUGGAACAGCGCGAUCCUAUCCGCAAGCCUGUCCUCUAGCUCGCGUCGCCGCCACGUCGCCCUGCAGCACAGAAUGGAGGUUCGCCAUCGUUCUUAUCUUCGGCCGCCUCGGGACCAUCCUAACCACUCUAUAAAAGGAACCCCCGAGCACGUUCGAACCUCAGGCAACCCCCUAUCACCCCACCGAGCACCCCCGUAGCAGUCAAUCGACCAGGGAAGGUCUUCUUCCCCAUCUCCGGCCAGUGCAGCCGCCGCCGCCUUUCGGUCCCGCUCGUCGCAAACUGAGCCUUCCCCAUCAUUCCAGCGCCACCGCUCGACUCCCCAUGACCCUACGGAGUCGCCCAACACCUCAAACCCGCUCGGGAACCACCGCAUCCCAGAACCCCAAACUCACCCGAAGCUGCCGGCCGCCGCGAAGCUCAUCACUGGCGACUCCCUUCGCCCCCACCGGGAGGACCGCCCCAGGCUGGCGGAUCCAUCCCUGCCCUCGGGAGCCUGCGAGGAGCCGCCAAUCGCCGGCGACGAUCGCCGGAGCCCCGCCUCCGCGUGGCCAGAGGAGGAAGGAGGCGGGGGAUGACUUGUCAAACCUGACCAGUGGGCCCCUGGACCCACUAUCAGUGACCCCGAGCCGGUCCACGCUGGCUAAAUGGAAGCGUAAAAGCAAAGUACGCCUUCGACGUGUUCAGUUUUCGAAACGUUUUUCUUUUUUCUGUUUUAUUUUAAAAAAGACAAUUUGACUAAACUUUGACUGGCUAUAUCUUUUUAAAUAAAACUCCAAAUGAGUUGAUUCUUUUUCCUACCUCUCUCAAAUUUAGUCUAGUUUAUUUUAAGAUUUAUUUGAAAAAAAUUCAGACAACUUUUUUACACUGUUUUGAAACUAUGUUUUAAUUUGAAUAAUUUCAAAAAUAGGUUUUUGAAGAAGAAGGCGACUUUGAAAAAUGCACCCCACUUGCAUACUCUUGAAGGCAAGCAUUCUGAACCCUGGCAUAAUAUUUUUGUGUGUUGUUUGACACGAUUAUAACACCACUUUAAUAUGGGAACUCGUUAUCUUAUGUGGUGAUACGAUCAUUUGAAUGAAUGCAUAUUGGAGAUUUCCUUGCUGUUGGAAAUGGAUAUACUUGUGACGGUAAUCGUCCUCGUAUGCCUUGCAUGCAUGCCGGAAGAAAUCAGGGGAAAGCCUCUGCCUUGGGUAGGCGUGAGCUUGUCUCUGGUCUUCGUCGGGACGGUUAUGUCCGGUGUGGCAUAGUAAGGUAUAAUUAGUGGUGAUUCUGUUGGUUGAAAUAUAUUUGUUAUACAUGGAAUUUUUAAACCUCCUGAGUCGACCGUAGAUCGAGUCUUAUUCCAGUAAUCCCCAUACUAGUUUCGUACUACCACUUGUCCCUGCCGCAAGUAGGGUACGGUUCAGUAAGUUGUCAACCCCUUUCUUGGCACACACCGUAUAGAGAGGCCAUGGUGGAAGAUACCGGCUGCAUCCGGUAGGCGGCCACCUGGUCCGGGGGCAUGGGUGUUUCCGGUUGGGACCGAGAGGGGGGCAUCCUUAGAGCGCGUGAUAUAAAUUUGAUCCCAUGCUACGCGAGGUUGUAGCCUCCCCACUUAGAGUUUUGCUUGACAGGUGUCGUGGGUGAUUCCAGACACCGGUAAGUUAAGCUGGUGUGUACAAGUCAGGUGUGUUUUCAAUUAAAAGACCGUAGACGGAAUUAGUCCCGAUGGACUAAAGGAAUCUGUUACUCGUGGGUAAAGAGUACACCCUCUGCAGAGAUUAAAUCUAUUCGAAUAGCCGUGUCCAUGGUUAAGGACUACAGUCUGGGAUGGGUCAAGUGUCGGUCUUAGUGUCGGUCUUUGGAGAAGAAACUGAUAAACCAGAACAUGGAUCAUGGCUUGUGACUUGUGUUGAUUAUGAUGAUUGUGAUUAUUAUUAUUAUGGACAAACCCACUAUAUUACUUGAAUUAUUGAGUAUCCCUGGGACGGUUCUACCUCCUGGAUAUUCACUGUGACUAUUUACUUUAUAAGCCCUUUAUGUGGUGUCGCUCAGACGCCCGACUGUGGCAUGCUUGUUACUUAUUUCACCUAUAAGACCUUUAUGUGGUGUCGCUCAGACGCCCGACUGAGGCAUGCUUUAUAUUAUUGUCCUUUCGAGGCGUCGCUUCAGACACCCGAUCAGUGCAUUCUAUUUUUAUUCUCUGAUUGCAUACUCCUGUUUUAGAUGAAUAACCUGCUUGCAUGCAUCAGGGAUUUUAUUUUAUGACUAACGUUAUGAUCAUAUAGAAUAUUUCAGAGCAUGAUUAUCAUUUGUUAUAUUAUACCCGUGUUCAUGAUGUUUGCGAGUACAUUCAAAGUACUCACUGGCUUGUCCCUGGCUAUUGUCUUGGCCAGAUUUCUUUCAUGGAGAGGAGUGUUGCGAUGACAGCCCCGGAACCUAAGCAAUGGUGAUAGCAGCCCCGCGAGAUAGGAGUUAACCUGGUCAGCUGUUCCUGUGGGGAAUGGAGUGUCGCGACCGGUUUUCCGGGUAAAAAUUUCCAGAAAAAACCGUCAUGCUCAUCAGCCUCAGGAUUACUGUUAGCUGAUGAGGCUCCAACUUGAUACAGAAAUUCCAAGCAAAAAUACAAAAUAUGUAGUACAAGACCAUUCUGGCCUGUGAGUACAACAAAUGGUUUCUAGUGGUUGAUUGGCGGAAGCGGGUUGUGAAACAUCAGUGUCUAUGGGACUCCAUUUCCCACAGGAACAGCUGACCCGGUUAACUCCUAUCUUCGCGAGGCCGCUAUCUCCAUCGCUUAGGUUCCGGAGCUGUCAUCGCGUCGCUCCUCUCCGUGCAAGAAAAAUCUGGCCAAGACAAUAGCCAGGGACAAGCCAGUGAGUACUUUGAAUGUACUCGCAAACAUUAAGAACACAGGUAUAAUAUAACAAUGAUGUGCUGAAAAUAUUAUAUGCUCAUGACGUCAGUCACAAUAGAUAAAUGAAACUCUGAUGUGUGCAAGCAAGUUAUUUAUAAAAUGCAAUAACAUGGUAGUAUAAAAAAAAUAUUUUGAAAUAAACAACAAGCAAUGCCACAGUCGGGCGUCUGAGCGACACCACAAAAAGGGCUUUAAAAGAAAUACCACAGUCGGGCGUCUGGGCGACGCCACAUAAAGGGCUUUGAAAGAAAUGCCACAGUCGGGCGUCUGAGCGACGCCACAUAAAGGGAUUUAAAAGAAAUGCCACAGUCGGGCGUCUGAGCGACGCCACAAAAAGGGCUUUAAAAGAAAUACCACAGUCGGGCGCCUGAGCGACGCCACAUAAAGGGCUUUAAAAUAAAUGCCACAGUCGGGCGCCUGAGCGACGCCACAUAAAGGGCUUUAAAAGAAAUACCACAGUCGGGCGUCUGAGCGACGCCACAUAAAGGGCUUUAAAAUAAAUGCCACAGUCGGGCGUCUGAGCGACGCCACAUAAAGGGCUUUAAAAGAAAUGCCACAGUCGGGCGUCUGAGCGACGCCACAUAAAGGGCUUUAAAAGAAAUGCCACAGUCGGGCGUCUGAGCGACGCCACAUAAAGGGCUUUAAAAGAAAUGAUCAUAGUGAAUAUCCCGGAGGUAGGACCAUCCCAGAGAUACUCGGUGAUAACAAUGAUAUCACGGGUUAGUCAACAAUAAUAAUAAUAAUAAAUAUCACAAGUCACAAGUAGUAAUUCCAUUCUCUAGUUAACAGUUUCACCUCCGGAAACCGACAUUAAGACCGACACAUGACCCAUCCCAGACUGUAAUCCUUAACCAUGGACACGGCUACUCGUAUAGGUUUAAUCUCUGCAGAGGGUGUACUCUUUACCCACGAGUAACGGAUUUCUUUAGUCCAUCGGGACUAAUUCCGUCUACGGUCUUUUUGUUGAAAACACACCUAACUUGCACACACCAGCUUAUCUCACACGUGUCUGGAAUCACCCACGACAUCUGUUAAGCAACUCUAAGUGGGGAGGCUACAACCUCGCGUAGCAUGGGAUCAAAUUUAUAUCGCGCGCUCUAAGGGGUGGCCUCCCCUCUCGGUCUCAACCGGAAACACCCAUGCCCCCGGACCAGGUGGACUGCCUACCAGCUACAACCGGUAUCUUCCACCAUGGCCUCUCUGUACGGUGUGUGCUGGAAAGAGGUUGACAACUUACUGAACCGUACUCUACUUCCUGUAGAGACGAGUGGUAGUACGAAACAAGUAUGGGGGUUAAUGGAACAAGACUCGAUCUAUGGUCGACUCAGGAGGUUCAAGUAUUCCCUGCAUGAUUAGCAUGACGAAUAUAUUUCAUUCAACAGAAUAACCGCUCAUAUCACCUUACCAUGCCAUACCAGACAUGAUCGUCCCGACGGAGACCGGCGACAAACUCAUGCCUACCCAAGGCCAAGGUUUUCCCGGGUUCCUGCCGGUAUGCAUGCAAGGCAUAUGAGGGUGAUUAUCAUCACAAGUGUGUUCAUUUCCAACAGUAUGGAAAUCCAUAACAUGUACCCAUGCAUAUGAUCAUAUCACAUGAAAUGACAAGUCCUUCGAAUGCGGUGGUGUUAUAAAUGCAUCAACGAUCACAUCAAAAAUAUUAUGCCGGGAUUCAGAAUGCUUGCCUUCAAUGUUGUGGAGGGGUGAGGUGCUCUCCAAAACUUUUGAAAGCUUCUUCUCUCUCCCAAAAUCCUAUUUGAAAAUAUAUUUGAAUUAACACAUAUUUCAAAAACAGAACCAAAAAGUUGUUUGAAAUUUUUUCAAAUAAAUCUUAAAAUAAACUAGAUGAAAUUUGAGAGAGGUAGGAAAAAGAAUCAACUCAUUUGGACUUAUACUUAAAAAGUUAGAGCCAGUCAAAAAUUUGGUCAAAUCUGUUUUUAAAUAGAACAGAAAAAGAAAACGUUUCGGAGGGGAAUACGCUUUCGAAGCGGGGAAAACGUACUAGGGAUAGUACGUCUUCACUUAAUCCCACAUGGACAGCGCGGGGUGUCGCUGACAGUGGGCCCGCCUGGCCCACUGGUCAUGUUUGACCAGUCGUCGCGCGUCGUCUCCCUCCUCUGUCCGAGCGGAGCGGGGCUCCGGCGAUCGUCGCCGGCGUUUGGCUGCUCCUCGCAGGCUCCAGAGGGUAGGGAUGGAUCCGCACGGCUGGGGCGGUCCUCCCGGUGGUUGCAGGGUUGCUGGGGAAGGAGUAAAUCGCCGCCGGCGAGCUCCACGACGGAGGGAAGCUUCGGUAGCAAAGUGAUUUGUUGGCGGCGAUGGCUACCGAUCAAAAUUAAGUAGGGGGUUGGGUUCAUAGGAGGAUGAGGAAGUUCCUGGUGAAGAGAACGGAGAGGGAGAGGUGCUGGGGGUGCCGGAUUGGCCGGGGCGGUGGCGGCGGCAGGAGUUGCCGGAGAUGAUGAAGGAGACCUCCCCGGGUCGAAUGCGAGGCAGGGGAGCGCCAUGGGUAUAGCAUGAGGUCGCGUGCGUGCUCAGAGGGGCUCGGGGUGUCCAUUUAUAGCACGCCAAGGUCGGUUCCGCGGCGGUGGAGAUAAGUUCUCCGGCGAACCGUCUCUCCGUAGCUAGGGCGACGUGGCAGCGACGAACGCUAGCGGACACCCGUGUGGAUGAGCUCGGGCUGUGCCGGGGCCAGGUGGCGAGCGGGCGAGGCUUGGGCGGCGCUGCCCGUGGCAGAGGCGCACUGCCGACGCCGGAGUGCCGCCAAGAACGCCCUGGCGGCGGCGCUGUAGCGUGCCAGGGUGGUUUGGCGCGAUGCUGCGAGGCGGGGAGUGCGUGGCGAGGUGCUGCCGUGUGGGCCAAAGCCAGGGGGCCAGCGUGUCGGCUCGGGCGCGUGGCUGCAAUUGGCGCGCUCUGGGCGCGUCCAGUGCACGCACACCAGAUGUUCGACACAAUGCCGCGGCAUGCUACAGGUCGUAGGUGAGGGUGGGGUUUACCAGAUCGAGGUUAGGAGCAACGGGGAGUCUAGUGGACAUGCUAGUUUGAUCAAAGAUGCAAGUUCACAGUGCAAUGUCAAAACUCAUGUCAAAAUCGGUCAUGCCCUCCAGGUGUUUGACAAAAUGCCACAUGCACUUAGGCAGGUCUUGGGGUGGCCAAAAACUCCAGAUGGGGGUCUCUUUAGGUGCAAGGGGGAGUGGUGUGGUUAGUUUGGCAAAAGGAUAAUCUUGUUAGUACAUGUUUUGCAAAACUUCAAUUCUGGACAGGAAAUAAAUAGCAUUAUUUCAUGAACCAAAAAUGAUCCAAAUGGUGUAUGCUCCUGGACUUAAGGGUUUAACAUGGAGGACUACAAGUAGGAGAAAUAAUCAAGGGUAUAGGAGUAAGUAAAAACAUGGUUGUUGUAUAAACCAUCAAGUUGGUCCAGAAUGAAGAUGAGGCUGAUUCACUCAAAUUUUUCAAAGAACAUAAAUAGGUUUUUGCACAAAGUGAAACAAUAGGCUCCUACUGACCUCCCUUAAUUUUGGUAGAAGUUUUAAAGAAAUAUAUAAAUAGGUUGCUGUGUAAAAUUGCUCACUGGACCAGAGAACAAAAUUCGUUGUGGAGCUCAAAAUAUUUCAUGAAUGAAAUAUAUUUUUGCACAAAAGUUAUUUAAAAACAUCACAUGACAUCUCCAAAUUUUUAUGGGAAUUUUAAGUGAAUUUAUCAAAUGGUUGUAGUUCAAAUAUGGCCAUUUAACUUUGGAAAAACCAUUUUCAAGAAAAUAAAGAUCAAGCAACUUAAAUAUUUAAUUAGUUACUCUGAUAAAAGGAAAGUUUUUCUUGAGAGGUUAAUCAAGUUCAAUAACAUAUUUGGAAAGUUUACUUUUUGAGAAAAACUCAUCAUAACAGGGAAGGAAAAAAAGAUUUAAACAAAAAUCAAAAAGGAGCUCAAAAAUCCAAAGUUUUAAUUCCUGGCAAAAUUUUAAUUUAAUAAAACAAGGCCAAAUUUUUGGGGUGUCACAUGGAGUCCCAUAGACACUGAUCCAAAAUCGCACAUAGCAGGGUUGAGUUGUAUCCCCUAAGUUCGGAAGACGUCGAAUCCUUUCUUAGACCCGACCAUGAUAUCAUCUAUCGGUGUACUAAAGUAGGGGUACCUUAGUACCCCAAACUUGUGCACGGGCAGUCGCAGCGUCCCGCGGCAAGGCUUGUCGGGCGUCCGCCAAGAUCCUUCGUGAUUCCUAUUACUGCCAUUCAAGAACAAAGUGUUAAUCGAGAAGACAAGGCCCCGACAAGAGAAGCUUGCCGGGAAGGACAAGACCCCGGCAAGAGGAGCUUGCCGGGAAGGCCAACCAAGGCACUUCAGCAAACUUGCCGCGACGCUCCGCGCAUCCCGGCAAGACCCGACGAGCGGCAAGCUUGCGGGUGCAACAAGAUAACGACCGCGGCAAGGUGCUUGCCGCGGUGAGGCCACCACUCUGCGCCCACGCUCCAGCGCAUCCGAUGACGUGUCGCUGCAGGAUCGCUCCUAGUGCACGUGGCGGGUAGCUGUGCAGCCAAGCGGUGCGAGGUGGCAAGAGAAGAUGACGAAGAGGCCAUCGUGGCGAUCGGUGGCGCCCCUAACGGUCGCUUCCUGCAUUGUUCGGGUGACCGGGCGGGCAUUAAAUGCCCUUGUCCCCUGCCGUCAGAGUUAGGUUGGGGGCACUGUUGAUAGCGGUUGUACCAACCCGCGUUUUUACUUUUCUACCCCUCUCUCUGCGUUGCCACCUGUCGGUGACCCCUUUAGACUAUAAAAAGGAGGCCCUCGCGCACGUAGAGGGGGUUCGACUCAUUCGAGACUACAGCAUACCCACGCUUCCGAGCAAGAACAGAAUAGAAACACAAAGCAGCAGUAGGAGUUUUAUCUCUCCGGAGAGCUCCGAAGCUGGGUAAAAUCCCUCGUGUGCUUGACCUCGCUCUGCUCUUUGUGCGCCCUCCGCUCCCUUGCCGGACCGAAAAGGGGCCCUGCCCCAUAGGUGUUCGUUUCCCCACGACAUCUUUGGCGCGCCAGGUAGGGGGCGUCGAGGUUGUGCGAACCUGAUCCGGUCUCCGUGCGCGCUACAUCAACAUCUUCAUCGACAUGCCACCGAAGAAGAAGACUUCGGAGGUGGCCGCUCCGUCUACGUCGAUUCCACCGCCGCCGGAGCAAACGGGCGGUGGAGUAGACGCCGGCGGAGGAGCGGGCGCUGAUGGUGGGACUCACGUCGUCACCAGGUCCAAGGACAAGGCCCCGCAAGCUUCUGCAUCUGUACAUACGCCGCACCCCUCCCAGGGGGUGCAGGAUCGGCAACGCCAUGGUGCUCCUGGCACCGUACUCGCGUUGGAGCAAGGCCGAGCUGGUGGAUCGUGGGACGCUCAAGGCCAACAAGCGCGUCAGCAUGUUGGUACGAGCGCGGUACGAUCGCCUGGACGAGAUGUCGCUCCUUCUAACACUGUUAGAAGUCUGAGCAUAUCUCGCUCCUCGCGUCGUUCACCGCCACCACCCAAGACUCCAGAGGAAGCACUGGCCCGAGCCCAGCAGCUUCUAGAUUACCCUCCGGCGCCAGACAAGAUUGACGACAGGAGGAUGACCAUUUAGAGCCUCAUCGGCUUCGCCAACGGCGAUAAGCCCCGGCAACCAAGCUCGUCAAAGCCGCGGCAAGAUGCCCAGGCGCGAGCCGCUGGCGACAAGACUGGUGGGGGUGCCACCACCGCGCACUCCCCGCCCCGAAGGCCAAGAUCGCCGACUCGUUGGGCCAACCUCGACACCGACUCCACUGCAUCGUCGGACCCGCGAGCUCGCCGCGAUCAACGCCAAGUUCUCCAAGAACGACGACACGAAGACGCUCGCACUCGUAUCGAGCGUCAGAGAGAAGCCCGACGUCAGUCUGACCAGCGCGCUGGGCCCACUGUCGAUAUGCAUGCGCCAGGGGAGCCAGGCGACUUGCCGUACGCGGUAGGUUGCCCUGCGUUCACCCGUGAGCUGCGGCAGGUCCAGUGGCCCAGCACCAAGAAUUUCAAGCCAGACGUGCCCGAGAAGUAUGAUGGCAGGAUACAUCCGUCAAAGUUCCUCAGCGUCUACAUCAUCGCGGUGCAGGCUGCCGGGGGGCGCGACGAGAAGAUCCUCGCCAACUACUUCCCGCUGGUACUCAAGCCCAACGUCAGAUCUUGGCUCAUGCACUUGCCAGAUAACUCCAUUUCUUCGUGGGCGGACCUGUGCCAUCAGUUUGUCGGCGCCUUCACAGGCGGCCACAAGCCCCAUGGCCAGGAAAGUGAUCUUCAUCUGCUUGCCCAGAAGGAAGGAGAACCCCUGCGCAAGUACAUACAGAGAUUCAGCCAGGUGCAGCGCAACAUCCCAGACGUCCACCCCGCCGCGGUUAUCAGCGCGUUCCAUCAGAACGUGCGUAACCGCAGGAUGAGGGAGGAGAUGGCGAUGUGCAAGAUUAGAGAUGUCAGCGAGCUAUAUGCUCUGGCCGACAAGUGUGCACGGGCUGAAGAGGGGAGGAAACUCCCUGGAGAGAACGCAGGAGCAGAAGGAUCUGACAGUGAGGACGCCCCUCCGGCAAAGAAGAAUCGGAGGCAGAAUAAUAGAAAGAGAAAGGCUAAGGAUGUGCUAGUUGUCGAGUAGUCCGGCAACGGAGGCGGCACCGAGAAGGCCAAAGCUGGUGACUCCGGCGAGGCUGUGGUGGCCGCCGACAAGCAGGACGGCUCCGGCAAGCAGUACUGCAAAAUCCAUCGCACCAAGGGCCCUGACCUCCAAGCCUGCAAGAAAGUUGAGCAGAUGGCAGAGUUACAGAAAGCUGAAUACGAGCGCCGCGACAAGGAGAAGGCCCAGGAAGGUGGCGGAGGAUCUGGCAAGAAGCGUCCCACCAGGGGAGGGUGCCGUGGAAAGGCCAAGCAACGGCAAGGAGACAGGCCACCCCGUGGCCGCGACAAGGACGAAGAUGAAGAUGAAUAUGAUGAGAUGGAUGAGGAUGAGACCGACGAGCAAGAGUUUCAGAAGGCGACGGAGGUUUUGUGCGUUGACGGCGGUGCUUCUCUGCACACCUCGCACCGCCAACUCAAACAGUGGGUGUGGGAGGUGAAUGCAGCAGAACCGUCAGUUGAGUCGCGCAAACCCCUGAAGUGGUCCAGCACGCCCAUCAUCUUUGAUGUUGAGGAUCACCCUGAUCGCAUCACUGCGGUCGGGUGCUUGCCGAUGUUGGUUUCGCCAACUAUCCGCAACCUCAAGGUCACAAAGAUGUUGGUUGAUGGAGAGGCCGGCCUAAAUCUGAUCUCUUCCGCGGUGCUCAACAAGCUCCAGAUCCCUGACAGCGAGCUCGAAAAAACUGGUACCUUUCAAGGAAUCAACCCGGGAAGGAGCAAGCCGAAGGGGAAGAUCACACUGCCAGUGACGUUUGGUAGCGAGCUGAAUUUCAGGACAGAGAGAGUCACAUUUGACGUUGCUGAUUUCCCAUUGCCCUACAAUGGGAUACUCGGCCGUCCGGCGCUUGCCAAGUUCAUGGCAGCUUCUCACUACGCCUACAAUGUGCUCAAGAUGCCUGGUCCGAUAAGUGUCAUUUCUGUCCAAGGCGACAAGAAGGAUGCACUUAUCUGUACCGACAAGAUCUACCAGGAAGCAGCAGCCGCAGUAGAGCGCAAACCACUUGCCGCUGAAGCUCCCAAGGGGAAGAAGAAGAAGACCAAGUCCGGCAAGAGUAGCUCCGAUGCCCACUCCGGCAAGCGCACCUCUUCGGAGUGCUGCGCUACCGUCGAGGACGCACCAUCGAGCUCCACCGGCAAGUGCAAGAAGGCAAAGACAGCUGCACCAGAGACCAAGAAAGUGGCCGCCAAGGAGGACGGCACUGGUGGUACCUUCACCAUCAGUGCCACGCUUGACCCUAAAUAGGAAAGCGCGCUCGUUGCUUUCCUGCGGGCGAAUGUCGAUGUGUUUGCAUGGCAACCAUCUGACAUCCCCGGUGUUCCCAGGAAAGUAAUUGAGCACCACCUUGCCGUCUGUCCUCACGCGCGGCCCGUCAAGCAGAGAGUCAGGAACCAAGCGGUGGAACGCCAAGAGUUCAUUGCAGAAGAGAUCAAGAAGUUGGAAGCAGCAGGCCUCGUCCGAGGAGUACUCCAUCCAACGUGGUUAGCCAAUCCAGUAGUCGUGCGCAAGGCGAACUGGAAGUGGAGGCUUUGUAUUGACUUCACGGAUGUUAAUAAAGCUUGUCCCAAAGAUCCAUUUCCCUUGCCGCGCAUAGACCAUAUUGUCGACUCCACGGCGGGAUGUGAUAUGCUUUCAUUUCUUGAUGCAUACUCAAGAUACCAUCAGAUAUUCAUGGCAGAAGAGGAUGAAGAGAAAACCGCAUUCAUUACUCCAUGUUGCACGUACUGCUUUGUACGAAUGCCUUUCGGACUAAAGAAUGCUGGUUCAACGUUUGCAAGAGUAGUCAGUCAUGCUUUUGAGCCACAGCGGCACACGAAUGUAGAAGCAUACAAGGAUGACAUAGUGGUCAAAAGCAAGGACAGAGAAACUUUGGUUCAAGAUCUGGAAGAGACUUUUGCAAAUCUGCGCAAGGUCAAUCUCAAGUUGAACCCCGAGAAGUGCGUGUUUGGAGUUCCUUCUAACAAGCUUCUCGGGUUCUUUGGGUCCCAGAGGGGGAUUAUAGCCAACCCCGACAAGAUCAAGGCCAUCGAACAGAUUGAAGCCCCGAAGCGCGUCAAGGAUGUGCGAAGGCUUGCCGGCUGCGUUGCUGCUCUCAGUAGGUUCAUCUCUAAGUCUGCUGAGCGCGCCCUGCCAUUUUUCAAAAUUUUGAAAAAGGCAGGUCCAAUGAAAUGGACUCCAGAAGCGGAGGCCGCGCUACAGGACUUGAAGAGAUACCUAUCCUCCACUCCAGUACUUGUCGCACCUAAACCACAAGAGAAGUUGCUGCUGUAUCUAGCAGCAACCAAUCAAGUGGUUAGUGCUGCGUUAGUAGCAGAGAGGGAGGUAGAUGACGAGCCAGCGACCGCGGCAAGCGAGUCCAGCGACAAGCAGGGGGCUUCCCCGUCAAGCUCUGGUCCCGACAAGGAUGAAUCUGCACAGUUGCCGGAAGAGAAACAGAAGAAGAUGGUGCAGCGCCCAGUUUACUUUGUCAGUUCCCUUCUGCAGGGGGCUAGAUCAAGGUAUUCUGGUGUGCAGAAGUUGCUUUUCGGCCUUCUCAUGGCCUCGAGGAAGCUGCGCCAUUACUUUCAAGCGCAUGAGAUCACAGUUGUCACUCGCUGUCCGUUGAAGAGGAUAUUGCAAAACCCAGAAGCAACAGGCAGGAUUGUCGAGUGGGCACUGGAAUUGUCAAGCUUUGGCCUCAAGUUUGAAAGUACUUCAACUAUCCAGAGCCGAGCAUUGGCAGAAUUCAUAGCGGAGUGGACGCCAACGCCUGAUGAAGAAAUUUCGGAGACAAGGAUCCCCGUCAAGGAAGCGAACAAGGAAUGGAUCAUGUACUUUGAUGGUGCCUUCUCGCUGCAAGGCGCCGGUGCGGGCGUGCUACUUGUCGCACCCACCGGAGAGCACCUCAAGUACGUGAUCCAAAUGCACUUUCCCAAGGAGCAAGCAACAAACAAUACUGUAGAGUAUGAAGGCUUGCUUGCCGGACUCAUGAUCGCGGCAGAACUUGGGAUCAAGAAACUUAUUGUCAGGGGUGACUCACAGCUUGUCGUCCGCCAAGUCAACAAAGAUUACCAGAGUCCGCUGAUGGAAGCCUACAUCGAUGAAGUGAGGAAGCUAGAAGAGCAUUUUGACGGCCUGCAGAUGGAACAUGUUCCAAGAGCUCAGAACGACAUUGCAGACGGCCUGUCAAAGUGCGCCGCACUCAAGUUACCUGUGGAACCAGGGAUUUUUGUGCUCAAGCUGACUCAGCCAUCUGUAACACCAUCAACUGGACAGACAAAGAAGAGAAAGUUGGUUACUGGCGACUACUUUCCAGCAGAGCUCCCCGAAGCCGCCGCCAAGAAGGUCCCCAGGAUCAACACAGAAAGUGCUGAGGAGCAAUCUGCUCCGACAAGCCCUAGGGUUUGUUUCGUUGAAGCAGACGCUCCCGACAAGUUGUGUCCCGACACGCUUGCCGGGGAGCAUCACGCUCCGGCAGGAUCCCAGAUUCUUGCCGUAGAAGCGGAUGUUCCCGCAGCAGCGUUUGCGCCUUUAGUCCUUGUUGUCGAGCCACAAGCUCCGACACGGGCACAGCAGAUAGUCUGUUUCCUUCAAACAGGAGAACUUCCCGAAGAGCAAGAAGAAGCAGAGAAAGUAGCCCGGCAAUCAAGUAUGUACCAGUUUGUCGAUGACAUACUGUACAAAAGAAGAUUUAACGGAGUGAAAUUGAAGUGCACUUCCCGGGAAGAAGGACAAGAGUUGUUGGCGGAGAUACACGGAGGCAUAUGUGGUUACCACAUUGGCGCAAGAGCACUUGCCGGCAAAGCUUUCCGGCAAGGUUUCUUUUGGCCGACAUCCCUCCAGGAUGCAACUGCACAAGUAACUAAGUGUGAAGCGUGCCGGUUCCACUCCAAACAAAUUCAUCAACCAGCUCAAGCUCUCCAAACAAUCCCUUUAUCCUGGCCAUUUUCGGUCUGGGGGCUCGACAUCCUUGGCCCCUUUCCCCGAGCUGUCGGGGGCUUCGAGUUCUUGUACGUGGCAAUCGACAAGUUCACGAAGUGGCCGGAGGUGGAAGCAGUGAGGAAGGUGACAGCACAGUCAGCAGUCAAGUUCUUCAGGUCAAUUGUUUGCCAUUUCGGAGUCCCUAAUAGGAUCAUCACCGACAACAGCACACAAUUCACGAGCCGCACCUUCAUGCAGUACGUCCAAGAUCUUGGCGCCAAGAUCUGCUUCGCUUCUGUUGCUCACCCGAGAAGCAACGGUCAAGCGGAGAGGGCGAACGCUGAAGUGCUGCGCGGGCUCAAGACCAGAACUUUCGACAGGCUGCACAAGUGCGGAAGAAAUUGGAUCGAGGAGCUACCGGUGGUUCUUUGGUUGAUCAGGACGACGCCGAAUCGAGCCAUAAUGAAGUGGAUAUGGCGUCGUUCAAAGAAGUACAGCCUUGCCAGAACACAGACGACAGAAAAGCUAAGUUGCCAAAGUUUGAGCACAAUCAUCUUUAAAUUUUUAAGUUAUAUUCCUUGAAUGACCGUGCCUUGUAUGGAAAACCUGUGCGCGGAGGGACCGGCUCGUGGCUAAGUUGCGCCCUUACUUUGUUUCGAGUCCGCUCAACGAUGAAAGUGUGCUGCAACUAGCCCCGACAAGGUUUCUUGCCGGAAGCAACACCGCCGGCAGGCUGCUGAUGUUCCGCACUCAGCGCUCGCGGCAAGUGUGUUCCCACCGGCAAGUUCCCUAAAAGCGUAGGGUAAAAACAUACAAGGGAUGGAAUUGAGUAAAGGAUAUAACAUAAAAAACAUCCCACUCAGGUACAAUCCGUAGAGGAUGAAAAACAUGAAAGAGAGGAUUACAAGUUUUAGAUGCGGCUAAGGCCCGAAGGCUUACAAAUUAAAAAGAUAAGAUGCCCGUAAUCCCUUUCCUGUCCCUCUCUUCAGGAGGUAGGUCAAGGAGGCGAAAAAGGGCAAAAGGGGCGCCUAGGCGAGCUACAGGUGCCAGAAGACACCAAGAGAACAUCCCGGGGGCCGUCCGAAGGCUGGACGGUGAUGGCGGCGCCGGAAGCGGGCUUCGAAGACGGGGCGACAGGACAUCAGCAUGCUGUCGAGGGAACUACGCCCUCGUACUCUGAUUUGACGGCCUUGUCGCCAGCCCUCUUCCCCUUCCGCAGCCUCCCUACGCCAGCCGCCCAAGGAGAAGACCCCGGGGAGUUCAAGGAGCCGGCGACACGGAUGAUGGGGUCACCGGUGACACACGAGGCGGCGCCCGACACCUAGUCGGGCCCGCCAUCCCGCCACCCGCUACCCUCAUCAUCGCUGUCGCUCUCCUCCUCGUCACUCUCGCUCGAGGGGGAGCCUUUGCUAUCGGAGGAGCUAUCCACGCAGCACUUCGCCCGAGUGCCGAAGCACCCGAAGACCUUGACGGAGAGGAGAUCGCCCUCCAUUAACUUAAAAUGGAGGGUAAACCACUCCAUCAGGCUGUGGAUACGGGCGAACGUCUUCCACCCACGAUCAAGAUACAUCACAUUAGGGGCUGGGAAUACAACGCGGACUCGCGUGCCGCUGAUCCCACAGCCCCUCAUGUGCAGCCUCAGUGUCUCGGGCGGGUCCAACUCCAUCGCGCUCGCAAACGGAGCUGGAAGCCGGAGGCGACGACGAGGCGCCCGGCGCUGCCUGACGAAGAACUCACAAGGGUCAUCCCCUGUAUGGACCGCAGUGGGGAGAGGAACCGCCGGCGGAGACGAAGCUGGCGCGCCGCCCCGUCUGCCUCUUCCCCGAGCGCCUCGACCUCGUCCACGACCUCGCCCCCUCCCUCUUCCCCUUAUGGCUGGCUCUGCCACCACGGGCGCGGGAUAGGGAGGGGUGCGCUGUCUGGCGGCGACCCUCGCCGCCACCGAUGAAGGGCCAGGUUUCCCUUUCUCCAUGGCGAAUGAGAGAAAGGGGAGCAGAAGCUGAAGAAAGGAGAAGAUGAGAGAGUGGGGACUUCUACGCUCCCCUCCCGCUCUUCUUAAAGGAGCGAGGUGGGGGCUCGGCCGCCCCGCUCAGCGAAUCAGGGCACGAGAAGAGCAGGGAGUCGGGGCCGACCCGCUGCCUCUGCUCGCAACGGCCCAGUUUUCCGCUUCCACCGUCCGCGACCCCAAGCGCAUGGGAGCCGCGUGGCGGGGACGCAGAACCGAGGCGAACGUUACGCAUUUCCUAGAUUUAAGUAUUGCCCACGAUCUCUCCCACGACGCCGCGAUUGACGCGUGCCAUUACGGGAGGACGUGGUGGAUACGGAGUGGAUUUGGUUUGGACCCAGGCCGCGCGUGCCCGUGCCCUGUUUUGGGCCUGGCCCAACAGCGCUCGGCAUCGUGUAUGGCCCAGGCCCGGGGGAUCCUGUCAGUGUACUAAAGUAGGGGUACCUUAGUACCCCGAACUUGUGCACGGGCAGUCGCAGCGUCCCGCGGCAAGGCUUGCCGGGCGUCCGCCAAGAUCCUUCAUCAUUCCUAUUACUGCCAUUCAAGAACAAAGUGUUAACCAAGAAGACAAGGCCCCGGCAAGAGGAGCUUGCCGGGAAGGCCAACCAAGGCACUUCAGAAAACUUGCCGCGAUGCUCCGCGCGUCCCGUCAAGACCCGACGAGCGGCAAGCUUGCGGGUGCGACAAGAUAACGACCGUGGCAAGGUGCUUGCCGCGGCGAGGCCACCACUCUGCGCCCACGCUCCAGCGCAUCCGACGACGUGUCGCUGCAGGAUCACUCCUAGUGCACGUGGCGGGUAGCUGUGCAGCCAAGCGGUGCGAGGUGGCAAGAGAAGAUGAUGAAGAGGCCAUCAUGGCGAUCGGUGGCGCCCCUAACGGUCGCUUCCUGCACUGUUCGGGUGACCGGACGGGCAUUAAAUGCCCUUGUCCCCUGCCGUCAGAGUUAGGUGGGGGGCACUGUUGAUAGCGGUUGUACCAACCCGCGUUUUUACUUUUCUACCCCUCUCUCUGCAUUGCCACCUGUCGGUGACCCCUUUAGACUAUAAAAAGGAGGCCCUCGCGCACGUAGAGGGGGUUCAUCUCAUUCGAGACUACAGCAUACCCACGCUUCCGAGCAAGAACAGAAUAGAAACACAAAGCAGCAGUAGGAGUUUUAUCUCUCCGGAGAGCUCCGAAGCUGGGUAAAAUCCCUCGCGUGCUUGACCUCGAUCUGCUCCUUGUGCGCCCUCCGCUCCCUUGCCGGACCGAAAAGGGGCCCUGCCCCAUAGGUGUUCGUUUCCCCACGACAUCAUCCAUAUAUGCUUCCACACUUGAACUAAUAUCAUCAUAAACACACCUAAAUCAUGCGUUGGAAAGUUGUGCCUGCAUUUUUUAGACUAAAUAGCAUCAUGAUGUAUCAUAAACACACGAAAGGGGUUAUGAAGGCCGUUUUUAUUUCAUCAGGCUCAUACAUUCUGAUCUGAUGGUACCCUAAGUACACAUCAAGAAAACAUAGUCUCUCGCAACCAACAGUGGAGUCUGCUAUCUGGUCAAUAUGAGGAAGGGGAAAAUGAUCCUUUGGAUAGACCCUAGUCAAAUGCGUCUACAAGAGUAUAGGAAACGAAAUUGCAAAGACAUGCAAGUGAAAGUAACAAGGUAGAUUUAGAGAGAUGCAAACACUGGUUAAUUCGGUAAAGAUUUUUCCCGUGGUUGUAAUAAACUUAAGACCAUGUGUGCGUGAACCUAAAGGGUCCAGCACAUAAGGGAAGGAACCUACUCGGUCGAGGCUAGAUUUUGCUACUUGGAUAUGAUACGAUUAGGACUUGGGCCACGUGCCGAGUAAACUAUGGGCUUCAUACCUCUAGUGGGCCUUAACUCAUUAUCCCACGAUGACACUUCUAUAUAAGUGAAGGUAUGAUGCUCAGUUAAGGGUGGUUGUAACUACAUUGGCUAGGUUAUACAUGUUACAUAUUCUAGCCACCUCCACUCGCCCCAGUCAUGCAAAUGAGCCUACCAGUCCAUCUCUCAAAGUUCGAUAUACACGCAAGGAUAUCUCUAGAGGCAGUGCACUUGCACCAAACUAAAAAAUUGCUUGAGGGAUUCCAUGUUUGGUUGUUCAAGGGAAUUGACUGGAGGAUAUGAAUCGAACGAACAACACUCUCCUCUGAACAACACUCUACUCAAAUUAUACUUCCACUACGAGGAUUGAGUGUCUAGUGGUAAUCUCGUGAUCUAUCUCCCGAGCAUUCUCUCUGGUGUUCUAUGCAGAAGGAAUUAUUUACUAUCCAAGCAUUGCAUGCUACAUAGCCCAAUAGAGGGGAUCUUGGAUAUCAUGAGGGCCAUGUUGUCAACGCCUUGCGCCGAAUCUAUCAUUAUUUUAAGACAAUUUUAAGUUUGAACAACCAAUCAAUAGUUUUAUCAAGUAAAACAUGCUCAAUAGUAAAUUUGUUAUGACUAACCCAUAAAUACAAGGAAAUAGCAGAAAAAAUAACCCAACAUAGCCGUCUUGAAUUGCCAGAUAAAGGAGCAGGACAAGAAAACCAAUUCUGAAAGUUCAAUGGGUCCCAAUUUUCACUGAGCCACAAGCGAACACAACUCUAAAAAACAUAGCCAUGGUAUAGGUAAAAAAAUGUGCUCCACAUUCUCAAUCUCUCCAUAAAGAAUGCAAGCUUCAUUUGCCAAUCCUUGUCAACUUACCUAGCUCUAAUGGUUCUCCCUUCAAAAGCGUGGUUACUUCAUAAAUUUAAUGGGAAAAUGAUUAACAUAGCAGAUAACCAUCUAUGAGUUUGAUAGUUACAUAAGGAAAUAACAAAUACAAACAUAUUCAAAUAUAUAUUGUUCUAUCUUUUACACCCACACAAUAUUUUCCAAUCUUAUAAAAUUUUAUUCAUCAUUUUAUUUCUAAAAGUAAAGAAACCAUAAUAUCUUUUCCACCUGGGAUAGAACAUCUGCCUUCAUCCAUUUUGGC